UGACGCCUUUGUCUGGUUGUUGAACACAAAGGAAGUACGCGAAGUUGCAGCUAUGGCGAACUUUUAAUCUAAACAAAACCCAAAGUCUAAACGGUGCCGUAAGGGCUGUAUAUAUGGAUGAAGAGGGGGUGAAUUUCUUGGCCCUCGGUGGAGGGGUCCGAAACUAACCCUAUCUCUUGUUUCCCCACACAUACGGACUCUAAAAAUAGCCUAUACUUAUGUAUUUCGAAAUUACAUGGGCCUGGCCCAAUAAUAAGGUGACGCAGCACCUAGAAUAGCCUCUGGACGAAAUUUAUGAAGUGGCAUCUUGUAUAUUUCGUCCAAGGCUUCAUGCACUCAUUAUGGUGGCUUCAAAGUCCUGAAAUCAUCACUUGUAACUCCAUUCUUGUUCCCCUUGCGCAUGCCAUCAUCUCCAUGCUUUUUCUUGCUCCAAUGUUCACCCUUCUCCAAGCUAGGCCCUUCAUUUGUAAGCAAAACAAAUGUAUCCAAUUUAGGCAGCAUCAUAUUCUCAUGAACAUUAGAAUCAUUACCAAGAAACGAAAGUACCUGAUAAUUUAAUUGGCGUGCGCGAGCUCUAGUAAUUGGUCUAGUAUAUGUAACAGUAGGGGCUGUGGGUGUAACAAUGGUAUUGAUGUCCUCACCAAUUUGUUUCUAUUCUUAGAUAUCCCUCUAAUGAGCUAGGUGGGGGUACUUAUAGUCUAGGGGCGAAAUAUGAGAGGGAGAGGGUGUUGUAGGGUCAAACCCUAGGAAGGAUCUUUUCACACUUGGAGGGGUUAAAGGAGGAAAACACUCAAGAACACCAAGAACAAAACUCUCAAACAAACCCAAAUAUCACAUCCACUAGAGUAGCAUACAUGAGAUCCACAUGAUUACAAGAUCAAUACAAGGAGAGUAGCACUUGGUAAAUUCUUCCCACUAGGUGAGGUCUUGAUGAUCUUCUCCAAGAAGAGGCCUCGAUAAUCCAAUGGAUUCUUCCCUAGGUUGGGGCUUGAUCUCCUAAGAGGAGGGGAUACAAGGAGCAAAGGCUCACAAUGUUUAGUCUAAUCUUUGCUAACCUUCCAAAUGGCCUAGGAGAUAAGUAUAUAUAGGCUAGGGACGAAACUUAGGGAAAGGGGGGUACAAAGGACUAAAAUGUCCCUAAAAACGUGUAGCCAAGGGGAAGGGUCCGGGCACCCGGACCGGUCAGGGAGCCGCGCCCAGGCGGGACCGGGCACCCGGGGGUGUAUUGGCCGGGCACCCGGCCAGGUCAGGAGCAGGCGAGCGAGGGGCCGGGCACCCGGGGCUCCAAGUCCGGGCACCCCGGGUGCCUUCCAGCGGCCGGCUGGGCAUGGGUCGGGCACCCGGGGCCGGCUGGGCGAAGCCCAGGAGAGGGGCCGGGCACCCGGGGCCUUGGGGCCGGGCACCUUGGUGAUGAGGACAUCAAUACAUUUGUUACACCCACAGCCCCUACUGUUACAUAUACUGGACCAAUUACUAGAGCUCGCGCACGCCAAUUAAAUUACCAGGUACUUUCGUUGCUUGCAAAUGAAGGGCCUAGCUUGGAGAAGGAUGAACAUUGGAGCAAGAACACGCAUGGAGUUGAUGGCAUGCGCAAGGGGAUCAAGAACGAAGUUACAAGUGAUGAUUUCAGGACUUUGAAGCCACCAUAAGGACUGCAUGAAGCCUUGGACGAAAUAUACAAGAUGCCACUUCAUGAAUUUUGUCUACAGGCUAUUCUAGGUGCUGCGUCACGUUAUUAUUGGGCCAGGCCCAUGUAUUUUCAAAAUACUUAAGUAUAGGCUGUUUUUAGAGUCUGUAUGUAUGGGGAAACAAGAGUUAGGGUUGGUUUCGGACCCCUCCUCCAAGGGCCACGAAAUUGCCCCCUCUUGCUCCAUAUAUACAGCCCUUAGGGCAUCGUUUAGACUUUGAGUUUUGUUUAGAUUAAAAGUUCGCUAUAGCUGCAACUUCGCGUACUUCCUUUGUGUUCAACGACCAGACAAAGGCGUCACAGAACCCCACCUUGAUCAAUAAAUCUUUCAUCUUAUAUUCGCGUAUCCAGAAUUGCAAUCUCAGUUUCUUGCUUGUUCUUCAUUUGCUCGCAGGAAAUAGACCCUCGUGGUCAGGUUGAUCGUGCUCCGGUGUGGUCAAUAACCCCUCGGAAGUUGGAUUAGCGAUUGCUAAGGCGCGACGCCAUCACACGUUCGUAGUCGGAUCGUCAAAGUUGACUCCCACCAAAAACGAUUGCUAUCUCAUCGAAACAUCGGGACACCUUUGCCCCUAUCACAGGGGCUGGCUGGGGCACAGCCCAGGUAGAGGCCAGGCACCCGGGCACCCGGGAUGUCCAGGGGGAUUUGCCCCUUCUCCUCCUUCUUCCUUCUUCUCGUUCUCUCCUUCCUUCUCUUCUUUCCGUUGCUUCGUGGUCACUUGAGUCUCCGUCUUCUCCUUCUCACUAUCAUCUUCUUGGUACCUAAGCAUGCACAAUGUUUCCGAUGAUGGUAGAAUCCAAUUCCCAUGUGAAACCGAACGAAACUCAAAGAGGAGGGAGUCUACCUCGUUCUCGAUGGCGCGUGCACGGGCUCUUGUCAUUGGUGGCUCUUGUCAUUGGGCCACUUGGUGCUUGCGGUGGUGAUGGAGUGUCGGUGCGAGUAGUCGAGGGAUGCUCCGCAUCAUCUUCCCCCCUUGGGAAAGAUCCGUCCACGGAUCAUGCUCUUCAUGACGAGGACAUCAAUACCAUUGUUACACCCACAGCCCCUGCUGCUAUACAUACUGGACCAAUUACUAGAGCUCGCGCACGCCAAUUAAAUUACUAGGUACUUUCGUUUCUUGGUAAUGAUUCUAAUGUUCAUGAGAGUACGAUGCUGCCUAAAUUGGAUACAUUUGUUUUGCUUACAAAUGAAGGGCUUAGCUUGGAGAAGGAUGAACAUUGGAGCAAGAACAAGCAUGGAGAUGAUAGCAUGCGCAAGGGGAACAAGAACGGAGUUACCAGUAAUGAUUUCAGGACUUUGAAGCCACCAUAAUGGGUGCAUGAAGCCUUGGACAAAAUAUACAAGAUGCCACUUCAUAAAUUUCGUCCCUAGGCUAUUCUAGGUGCUGCAUCACCUUAUUAUUUGGCCAGGCCCAUGUAAUUUCGAAAUACAUAACUAUAGGCUAUUUUUCGAGUCCGUGUGUGUGGGGAAACAAGAGAUAGGGUUGAUUUCGGACCCCUCCACCAAGGGCCAUGAAAUUCCCCCCUCUUCCUCCAUAUAUACAUCCCUUAGGGCACCGUUUAGACUUUGGGUUUUGUUUAGAUUAAAAGUUCGCCAUAGCUGCAACUUUGCGUACUUCGUUUGUGUUCAACGACCAGACAAAGGCAUUACAGAACCCCAACUUGAUCAAUAAAGCUUUCAUCUUAUAUUCGCAAUAUCCAGAAUUGCAAUCUCAGUUUCUUGCUUGUUCUUCGUUUGCUCGCAGGAAACAGACCCUCGUGGUCAGGUUGAUCGUGCUCCGGCAUGGUCAAUAACCUCUCAGAGUUGGUUUAGCGAUUGCUAAGGCGCGACGUCCUCGCACGUUCGUAGUCGGAUCAUCAAAGUCGAUUUCCACCAAAGCGAUAUCCAUCAUCUCAUCGAAAGACGGGACACCUUUGCCUCUAUCAAGUGGUAUCAGAUUUCCAGGUUGCUCGGUGAGAUUUUACAGUUUUCGUAGUUUAGAUCGAGUCUGUUCUUCAUACCUAUAGUCCACGAAAAAGCCAAAAAAAUAGGGUUAGUUCAUCCUAUCCGAACCAGUCUGAGCCUUUGCAUAGUCUUUUCAGUAUUUGGCUUUGUUGAAUUCGUGGUUGCAUCAUCGCGUCAAGUUGCUGGUCUUAGCGUCUAGUCUUUUAGAGUUUCGAGUUGUGGUCAUAAGUUGUCACGCCGCCACCGCACCAUCAUCAUCGCCCGUGCCACCUACCACCACCGCUCCGAAUCCGUAUCCAUAUACCACCACCAAUCCGUAUCCAUAUACCAUCACCGAUCCAUAUCCAUAUACUACCACCGCUGUCAUAUACCACCACCGCUGCCAUAUACCACCACCAUAUAUCCACCACCAAUCCGAGUUCCUUGCAUAUUAGGUUUGUUUUUGAGAUCCAUCUAAUUUCCGAUUCCUGUUUCCUUGCCUGAGUAGGUUUCGAAAAAAAAGAGUCUGGAGACCCCCGGGCAGUUUUUAGGCCAAAAUUUCGGCGACCAAAAAUAUUUUUUCGCUAUCCUAUUUUUAGGUCCCAGGGAGUGUUUUGAGACACUCGCCAUCGUAGUGAUUUUUUGUCGCACUUUUUCAUCGUCGCUGCCCUGAUUUCCGAAAAGAAAUUGUCAAAAACAAAUUCGUGUCCAUCCUGUUAGUUUGACAUGGGAAGAGUUUUGAGACACUCGCCAUUAUAGUGAUUUUUCGCAAAAAAAAGAGGAGCGAAAAAAAAGCAGAGCGCAAAAAAAAGAGCGAAAAAAGAAUUCCAGAGUGUGCUUCUUCCUUGUUUACGUGCAGCGCCGUGAUUUUGUUAGUGUUCUAGGCUCGCGUCUCUAGCACGUUCUAGCCUAGGACCAGCACAGUACCAUCGUUGAGCGUUUAUUCCACUUUGCAUCUUUGAAUUGAUUAUUGCUGAUCUUUUUUGCUACCGUAUUAUAAGCCUUCCCAGCUCCAUAUACAUCUACGUCGUUUGUUUGACUCUCCCUGGUAAUCGCUCUAUCCAAGCUUUGAGAGUUUUCACUACAAUGGUUGCCAAUCACCACCUGCUGCUGGGUAAGAAUUGGUAAGAAUUUGAGAUUCGCUUGACGGAUUUGUGACACCCCACCACCACCAUAUUCCAGUAGUCUGUAGGAUCAUAUUCUUGUCUGUUUCUAUUGUUGCUAACUAUGGCAGGAACACAAGUCGACGAGAUUGACUGGGAGAACAUGACGAACAAGGAGCUUCAUGAUAAGUUUCAUCAAAUGUUGGGUCAACAGGUGGAAGACGUGAUGGCCAGCUUUGGAAAGGCAAUGGAGAAGAUGGAUGACAUUGAGAAGUCAAUUGACACCAAGUUGUAGGCCAAGUUUGAUGAAUUACUCAAACGUCUCCCACAACCAGCUCUACGCCGCGAUACAGUAGGGCGAGCACAACGUGUUCCUACUGAGCCAGGACAAAAUUCUAGUGACGCUGCUACUGCUAGUGGUGCUUCUGUAGCUCCUGCUGUUACUGCAGAGGUGGAGGACUAUUACGAGGAUGAGGUUGAUCAAAAUCAGAACUACGUGCAGCCCCCAGCACCACCACCAGCAGGUCGACCUCAGGUAUAUAUUCGCAACGGUAGGCCAGCACCACCACCUCAGGUACGAGAUAAUGACCAUAUUCCGAAAGUGAAAUUGAAUAUUCCACCAUUUGAGGGUAGAUAUGUUCCUGAUAUAUAUCUUACUUGGGAGUUAGAAACUGAACAACGUUUUACAUGUUUACAAUAUCCCCAGGAGAGACGGGUUGCUACUGCUGCUUGUGCUUUCACUAGUUUUGCAUGUGUAUGCUAGUCUGAACAUUGUAGAUUAUAUCCUAUUCCAACUACUUGGGCUGCUUUGAAAACUGCUAUGCAUACUCGUUGGGUUCCACCAUAUUAUCAACGUGAAUUGCUUCAAAAAUUGCAGCGUUUAAGACAAGGAAAAAAUUAUGUAGAAGAAUAUUAUCAGGAAUUACAAACUGGCAUGAUUAGAUGUGGUAUUGUUGAGGAGAAUGAAGCUAUGCUUGCACGUUUUAUGGGUGAAUUAAAUAGAGAGAUUCAGACCAUUCUAGAUUAUAAGGAGUAUACUAAUAUCACUCGUUUAUUCCAUCUUGCUAGUAAAGCUGAACGUGAAGUGCAGGAUCGACAAGCAUUGGCGCGAACUAACUUUUCUGCAGGUCGACUUUCAUCGUGGACACCGCGUGCAUCCUCUACUUCCACUGCACCAGCACCUCCAUCAACUGCUACCUCCAGCUGUGAUACAAGAAAGCAGGCACAACCACCACUAUGUGCCAAGAGCGCACCUGCCGGGCCUGCACAGAGCUCUUCUUCGUCCAUGGCAUCAACAGGGCACACAAGUGAUAUUAUUUGUCGUCAUUGUAAGGGAAGAGGACAUUAUGCGCGAGAAUGAAAAUCUCAGUGUGUGAUGAUUGCUACUGAGGAUAGUGGGUAUGAGUCUGCUAGUGACUAUGAUGAGGAGACUUUAGCCCUUAUUACAAAUGAAGAACACGGUGGAGAUGAUUCUGAUCAUGAGACGCAAUACAUGGCUCCUGAAGAUGCUGACAGGUAUGAAUGUUUAGUUGCUCAACGUGUUUUGAGUGUGCAGGUUACACAAGCUGAGCCAAAUCAGAGGCAUAAUUUGUUCCAUACAAAGGGAGUUGUGAAGGAACGUUCUGUGCGCGUCAUCAUAGAUGGAGGGAGCUGCAACAACUUGGCUAGCAUGGAGAUGGUGGAGAAGCUAUCUCUCACCACAAGACCACAUCCAUAUCCUUACUACAUCCAAUGGUUCAAUAACAGCGGCAAGGUUAAGGUAACACGUACUGUUCGUGUGCAUUUUAGUAUCUCUACGUAAGUUGAUUAUGUUGAUUGUGAUGUGGUACCUAUGCAAGCAUGUUCCUUAUUACUUGGUAGACCAUGGCAAUUUGAUACAAAUUCUGUACACCAUGGUAGAAACAAUUAGUAUACUCUUGUUCAUAAGGAUAAAAAUAUUAAUUUGCUUCCCAUGACUCCUGAGUCCAUUUUGAAAGAUGAUAUUAAUAGAGCUAAUAAAGCAAAACAAGAGAAAAAUAAGAGUGAAAAUCAGAUUGUGGCAAAAGAAUUUGAGCAAAAAAUGAAGCCUAAUAGUAAACCAUCUAGUGUUGCUUCUGAAAUUAAAUUGAAAAGUGCACGUUUACUUGCCACUAAAUCUGAUAUUGAUGAGCUAGAUUUUAGCAAAUCUGUUUGCUAUGAUUUUGUGCGCAAAGAGGCAUUAUUUUCAUCGAGGACGUGCCUUCCUCUUUGCCUCCUGCUGUCACUAACAUUUUGUAGGAGUAUGCUGACGUCUUUCCACAAGAUGUGCCACCGGGAUUACCGCCUAUUCGAGGGAUUGAGCAUCAGAUUGACUUAAUUCCCGGUGCUUCACUUCCAAACCGUGCGCCAUACCGUACCAAUCCAGAGGAGACGAAGGAGAUUAUGCGUCCAGUACAAGAGCUUCUCGACAAAGGCUGUAUACACGAAUCCCUUAGUCCUUGUGCUGUUCCUAUUAUUCUAGUGCCGAAAAAGGAUGGUACAUCGCGUAUGUGUGUUGAUUGUAGAGGCAUUAAUAAUAUUACUAUUCGUUAUCUUCAUCCUAUUCCUAGGCUAGAUGAUAUGCUUGAUGAAUUGAGUGGCUCUACAAUAUUCUCCAAAGUUGAUUUGCGUAGUGGAUACCAUCAAAUUCGUAUGAAAUUGGGGGAUGAAUGGAAAACAGCAUUUAAAACUAAGUUUGGAUUAUAUGAGUGGUUAGUCAUGGCUUUGGGGUUAACUAAUGCACCUAGUACUUUCAUGAGAUUAAUGAAUGAAGUUUUACGUGCUUUCAUUGGAUGAUUUGUGGUAGUUUACUUUGAUGACAUAUUGAUUUAUAGCAGCUCUUUGGAGGAAAAUUUGGAACAUUUACGUGUUGUUUUUAUUGCUCUACGUGAUGCACGUUUAUUUGGUAACCUUGGGAAGUGCACCUUUUGCACCGACCGAGUGUCUUUUCUUGGCUAUGUUGUUACUCCACAGGGAAUUGAAGUUGAUAAAGCCAAGAUUGAAGCUAUUGAGAGUUGGCCGCAGCCCAAAACGGUCACACAAGUGAGGAGAUUUCUUGGCCUCACUGGAUUCUAUAGGCGUUUUGUGAGAGAUUUCAGCACCAUUGCUGCACCUCUCAAUGAGCUUACAAAGAAGGAUGUGCCUUUUGUUUGGGGUACCGCACAGGAAGAAGCCUUCAUGGUGUUGAAAGAUAACUUGACACAUGCUCCUUUACUCCAACUUCCUGAUUUUAAUAAGACUUUUGAGCUUGAAUGUGAUGCUAGCGGAAUUGGAUUAGGAGGUGUGUUAUUACAAGAUGGCAAACCUGUUGCAUACUUUUCUGAAUAAUUGAGUGGGCCUAGUCUGAAUUAUUCUACUUAUGAUAAAGAAUUAUAUGCUCUUGUUCGGACUUUAGAAACAUGGCAACAUUAUUUAUGGCCCAAAGAAUUUGUUAUACAUUCUGAUCAUGAAUCUUUGAAACAUAUUAAAAGUCAAGCUAAACUGAAUCAUAGACAUGCUAAAUGGGUUGAAUUCAUUGAGACUUUUCCUUAUGUCAUUAAACACAAGAAGGGUAAAGAAAAUGUUAUUGCUGAUGCAUUGUCUCAUCGCUAUACUAUGCUUUCACAACUUGACUUCAAAAUAUUUGGUUUGGAGACCAUGAAAGAUCAAUAUGUGCAUGAUGUUGAUUCUAAAGAUGUAUUGCAGAAUUGUAAAGAAGGAACAACUUGGAACAAGUUCGUCAUUAAUGAUGGAUUUGUGUUUCGUGCUAACAAGCUAUGCAUUCCAGCUAUGUCCGUUCAUCUUUUGUUGUUGCAGGAGGCGCAUGGAGGAGGACUAAUGGGACACUUUGGCGUGAAGAAGACGGAGGACGUACUUGCUACACAUUUCUUUUGGCCAAAGAUGAGACGGGAUGUUGCGUGCUUUGUUGCUCGCUACACUACAUUUCAAAAAGCUAAGUCACGACUCAAUCCUCAUGGUUUAUAUAUGCCUUUGCCUGUACCUAGUGUUCCUUGGGAGGAUAUAUCUAUGGACUUUGUUUUAGGUUUACCUCAAACAAAGAAGGGGAGGGAUAGCAUAUUUGUUGUCGUGGAUAGAUUCUCGAAAAUGGUACACUUUAUACCAUGUCAUAAAAGCGAUGAUGCUGUUAAUGUUGCUGAUUUGUUCUUUCGUGAAAUUAUUCGCUUGCAUGGUGUGCCAAAUACUAUUGUUUCAGACCAUGAUAGAAAAUUUCUUAGCCACUUUUGGAGAUGUUAAUGGGCUAAGUUGGGGACUAAAUUGCUUUUUAGUACUACUUGUCACCCCCAAACUGAUGGACAAACUGAAGUAGUCAAUAGAACAUUGUCUACUAUGCUUAGGGCUGUUUUGAAGCACAAUAAGAAAAUGUGGGAGGAAUGCUUGCCUCAUAUUGAAUUUGCUUAUAAUCGUUCAUUGCAUUCUGCUACUAAGAUGUGCCCUUUUGAAGUUGUGUAUGGUUUCCUACAUCGUGCACCAAUUGAUUUGUUGCCUCUUCCAUCUUCGGAGAAGGUUAAUUUUGAUGCUAAACAACGUGCUGAAUUGAUUUUAAAAAUGCAUGAGUUAACUAAGGAAAACAUUGAGCGUAUGAAUGCUAAAUAUAAACUUGCUGGAGAUAAGGGUAGAAAACAUGUUGUGUUUGCACCUGGAUAUCUUGUUUGCUUACAUUUGCGUAAGGAUAGAUUUCCUAAUUUGCGCAAAUCAAAGCUAAUGCAACAUGCUGAUGGUCCCUUAAGGUGUUGGAGAAAAUAAAUGAUAAAGCAUAUAAACUUGAGCUACCUGCAGAUUUUGGGGUUAGUCCCACUUUUAACAUUGCAGAUUUGAAGCCUUAUUUGGGUGAGGAAGAUGAACUUCCGUCGAGGACGACUUCAUUUCAAGAAGGGGAGGAUGAAGAGGACAUCAAUACCAUUGUUACAUCCACAGCCCCUGCUGCUAUGCAUACUGGACCAAUUACUAGAGCUCGCGCACGCCAACUAAAUUACUAGGUACUUUCGUUUCUUGGUAAUGGUUCUAAUGUUCAUGAGAAUAUGAUGCUGCCUAAAUUGGAUACAUUUGUUUUGCUUACAAAUGAAGGGCCUAGCUUGGAGAAGGAUGAACAUUGGAGCAAGAACAAGCAUGGAGAUGAUGGUAUGCGCAAGGGGAACAAGAACAGAGUUACAAGUGAUGAUUUCAGGACUUUGAAGCCACCAUAAUGGGUGCAUGAAGCCUUGGACGAAAUAUACAAGAUGCCACUUCAUAAAUUUCGUCCCGAGGCUAUUCUAGGUGCUGCAUCACCUUUAUUAUUGGGCCAGGCCCAUGUAAUUUCGAAAUACAUAACUAUAGGCUAUUUUUAGAGUUUGUAUGUGUGGGGAAACAAGAGAUAGGGUUGAUUUCGGACCCCUCCACCAAGGGCCACGAAACCCCCCCCCUCUUCCUCCAUAUAUACAGCCCUUAGGGCAUCGUUUAGACUUUGGGUUUUGUUUAGAUUAAAGUUCAUCAUAGCUGCAACUUCGUGGUCAGGUUGAUCGUGCUCCGGCUUGGUCAAUAACCUCUCGGAGUUGGUUUAGCGAUUUCUAAGGCGCGACGUCCUUGCACGUUCAUAGUCGGAUCGUCAAAGUCGACUUCCUCCAAAACGAUAGCAACCAUCUCAUCGAAAGACGGGACACCUUUGCCUCUAUCAGUCGCUCUUGUCAUGGAGGAGGGUCUUGAAGCACUUGUUCCACUUGGUGUCGCUCUUGUCUUGGAGGAGGGCGAGGAAUGCACGCUUGGUUGCGCCUUUCUUGUUGUUCUUCGCGUCGGGCGGCUUCUUCUUGUAUCUUGCAUCGAAGAGAUUCCUCUUGUUCUCGCACUUGGCGGUUGCGGACUUCAACGGCUCUAGUGGCCUCGCUUAGAGCUUGUUGUGCUUCAAGUGCUUGAGCUUCACGAUCGAGGGCUUGUGCUUCACAUUGCUCUUGUGCUUGUCGAAGUGCAUCACCGUCUUGAGGGGCUUGAUGUGGUACUUGUGGAGGUAUUUGCUCUUGCUCCAUGGCUCCAUGAGGGACUUGGUGUCGCAUCCGUUCACGUGCUCGAACUCGGUCUUGUAAUCCAUUGCCAUGGAAUGGAUUUUCUUGAGCUUGAUGAUGAUCACGUCAAGGAGGGAGAGCUCGUGGUGGACUUGCAUGAUAAGAAGAGUAGUCCGAAGAUGGCCGACUUGUAUGGUGACUUGAGUGGCACCGUCUUGAAGAAGCCGAUGAGGUAGACGGGCGUCGAACGAUCAUGUUGUGGAGCUCUUCCAUUUGUGUGUUGAAUUUGUCAUCGAUGUUUUGACGAAGGUCGGAGGCGAGUUGUUCCAAGCGUUCACCCAAUGCGACAUUUUCUUGAUGAAGCACUCGUUGCGCGAUGAAGAAGUGGUUCUUGGAGACAUAUCCGGAAUCAUCACCUUGCUCCUCGAAAAGUGGGUUCGACGACGCGCUUGGCCUAUCCAUCAUAACCAAGUGGGGUAAGUAGGCAAGUGAGAGAACAAUACCAAAGUUACCUUCUCCGAGGAUUGAAGAUGUAACAAGUGUCACUCAAUGUAAUGCCACAAUAGGAGAAUUGGAACCGGGUUUGUUUCUCACACCUACAAGUAACAGGCUUACGGAGUAGCUCGGUUAGGAUGGUGGCAAAAAUUUCAAGCAAAUGUUAGUCAAGAUAUCGAUAAGGUUGAGAAGGUUCACAAAAAUGCAAGUAAAGCAAAUAGAUCAAACCCAAAGGUAUCACUAGGUGCACACGCACGGAAGAGAGAUGGGAUCCGCACAACCAAGGAGUGAGCUCAAAAUGUGCAACCACGGAAAAUGCUCUUGUUGUGCGAAUGCUCGAGAGACACAAGCUCGAUUGCUCAAAUGGGCAAGAUACGCUUGUGCACCUACCUAUGAGAGAACCGUGCCGUCUUCAAUCCCAACUAUGGUAUAUAUGUGAUGACCAAGAUGAUAUAGGUAUGCAAAUGGCUCACUCUAUUGCUUACAAGCUCUUUGUUUCUCCUCUUUUGCUUAAAAGCUUUUCUUCUCUUUUUUUUCUCUCUAUGCUUGAUGCUUGAGCCGAGUAAGAUAUGAGACAAGUAUGUAUGAUAUGCACGGGAGAUACUUAUGGCACUAAGAUGAUAACACGAUCACUACGGUGCACAAUAGCGUGGCCCGGCAAUUCUCAACUUGCUAGUCUCAAUGGGUAAGCGACGCAAAGUGGCUCGGGCUAUCAAUGCAAAAGCAAGGUAAGGAGUAAGUGUCGUCGAUGUUACCAUCCUUUUUUACGGUUAGCAAUGAAGAUGACUCCGAGUCAAUGAUGGUGACGAAGAUGUCACACGCUCCGAAACACCUUAGGAAACACAAAUGGCAACACAAAAUCGGUCAAAUGCGGAAGGUGGGUGUUUUUGUGACGAUUUUUUGGAUGGGGGCUAAUGGUGGUGGUAGUGGGAUGAGUGGAUGGGAGAUGUCAAGAGCUUCUAAACGAGCUAAAGAACGCGAAAAACGGACUUGGGAGGUGGAAGUUAUGGCCAAAUGGUGUUUGUAGUGGGCUGAUUUGGGGGGUGGGGGCACCCGGGGGUGUCAAGUGCGGGUGCCCGGGGGUGGCUGGGGGCGGUGCAGGUUCCCGGGGGAUGAGGUGCGGGCACCCGGUGUUCUUCGGGGUGGGUGGAAAAAUUGGGGAAAACGCAAAAUUCCGCGAAUUUCGUGGUGGGAAGGGUGGGGAUUGUUGGGGAGGGGCUAGAUCCACUUGCCAAACAUCAAAUCCAUGGACCAAAACGACGAAAUCCCACAAGAUCCAACAAAUUGCAAGAAAAAUUUUUGGGGCUAUUUUUGUGGGGAUUUUCGGAUUUGGACGAAAAACAACAAAAUCAAGCUAGCAAAUGGGGAGAUGGGACUCCAAGAUGUGAAUAAACCUUGCUCAUGAUACCAAGAUGUUGUAGGGUCAAACCCUAGGAAGGAUCUUUUCACACUUGGAGGGGGAAAAGGAGGAAAACACUCAAGAACACCAACUCUCAAACAAACCCAAAUAUCACAUCGACUAGAGUAGCAUACAUGAGAUCAACAAGAUUACAAGAUCAAUACAAGGAGAGUAGCACUUGGUAAAUUCUUCCCACUAGGUGAGGUCUUGAUGAUCUUCUCCAAGAGGAGGCCUUGAUAAUCCAAUGGAUUCUUCCCUAGGUGGGGGCUUGAUCUCCUAAGAGGAGGGGAUACAAGGAGCAAAGGCUCACAAUGUUUAGUCUAAUCUUUGCUAACCUUCCAAAUGGCCUAGGAGAUAAAUAUAUAUAGGCUAGGGACGAAACUUAGGGAAAGGGGGGGGGGGUACAAAGGACUAAAAUGUCCCGAAAACGCGUAGCCAUGGGGAAGGGUCCGGGCACCCGGGGUGGAACCGAACGGGCACUCGGACCGGUCAGGGAGCCGCGCCCAGGCGGGACCGGGUACCCGGGGGCGAAGUGGCUGGCCACCCGGCCAGGUCAGGAGCAGGCGGGCGAGGGGCCGCACACUCGGGGUGCCUUCCAGCGGUCGGCUAGGCAUGGGCCGGGCACCCGGGGCCGGCUGGGCGAAGCCCAGGAGAGGGGCCGGGCACCCGGGGCCUUGGGGCCGGGCACUCGGGGCCGACUGGGGCGCAGCCCAGGUAGAGGCUGGGCACCCGAGAUGUCCAGGGGGGUUUGCCCCUUCUCCUCCUUCUUCCUUCUUCUCUUUCUCUCCUUCCUUCUCUUCUUUCCCUUGCUUCAUGGUCACUUGAGUCUCCGUCUUCUCCUUCUCACUAUCAUCUUCUUGGUACCUAAGCAUGCACAAUGUUUUCGAAGAUUGUAGAAUCCAAUUCUCAUGUGAAACCGCACGAAACUCAAAGAGGAGAGAGUCAACAUCGUUCUCGAUGGCGCGUGCAUGUGCUCUUGUCAUUGGGCCACUUGGUGCUUGCGGUGGUGAUGGAGUGUCGGUGCGAGUAGUCGAGGGAUGCUCUGUAUCAGAGGGUUACAAGGGCAAAAACCCCAACUUGCAAGCAGGCAUUGGCGGAGUGGUCCGAGCACCCGGUGCAAAGAGGCCCGGGUACCCGGAGGUGGUGCGGCUGUUGGUGGUCGGGCACCCGGGGCCGAAGGGCCGGGCACCCGGGCUGGGUAGGGCCGGUUGUAGAUGGCCCGAGCACCCGUGGGCGCGCCAGGCGGCUGGGGGCAUGAGCCAGGCACCCGGGGAAGUAAGGCCCGGGCACCCGGGGUGAAGGCAGCAGCUCCAAAGGGAGGGGCCGGGCACCCGGGGUGUGCAGUGGCUCCACUCCUUCAUGCCCAUCUUCCUUCUCCUUCCUCCGUGUGUCUCCGGGUGAACUUGGUGUUUCCCUCCGUGCUUCCUCGUGAUGAUCUCCCAAGUACCUAAGAAUGCACAACAUCUCCGAUGGAGGUAGGACCCAAUUCAUAUACGAUUCCGAACGAGACCCGAAGAGGAAAGAAGUGACCUCGUUGUCGAUGUUGCGUGCACGUGCUCUUGUCACUGCUCCUCUCGGUGCUUGCGAUGGUGAUGGCAUGUCCAUGUGGAUGGACGAGGGAUGCUCCGCAUCAUCUCCCCCCCCUUGGGAGAGAUCCGUCCACGCGUCGUGAUCUUCAUCACCAUGGGAAAGAGAUGGCGUCACCGUGUAGAAGUGGACAACCACCAAGCACUCAUCAUCGUCAAGCUCGAAAUGGUCACUCUCUGAUGUCGCCGUCUUGUGAUUCCUUCAAAAUUAGCAAGUACAAAAAACACUUCGAAAAACAAAUGUGGUUAGCGUUAGAGCAAAACCAAACAUUCGAAAGGUGAUUUACCAAACAAGUGUCAUCAUCAAGCAUAGCAUAUGGAGUGACAAGGGGGUGUGGCAUGGCAUGUAAGCACAUAAAUUGAGCACAAUCAAGGACAUCAUGGAAACAAGCAUGUAAAUGUGAGGUAAACAUGCUAAAACGGUUGACAAGAGAACAAGCAUCAACCUCAAGAUCAUAGCAAGCAUGCAUAAGUGAUGUAGGGCGGAACCCUAGGGGCCGAUCUUUCACGUUUGGAGUGGAUCCUAUGGGGGAACACGAAGAACGCACGGAAAACACAAGGGAAAACACGGGGAGAAAUGAGAGAAUCUCUAAACCGACAAGUAAUCGAUCACACAAGGGCUAGAUCACCGAACACAUAAGGUAGCACAAGAUUCAAAAUCAACAAAGGAAAGAUACAAGGGUAGACGUUCUUCUCCGUGAGGAGGUCUAGAUUGUCUUCCCUUGAAGGGGUCUUGAAUUCGCUUCGGGGAUCUUCUCCGAAGAGGUCGUGAGCUCCGAGGACAAGUAACCAAGUGGAUGAGCAAGGCUCUCACACAAAAUAUGAGUGAAACCAAUGCUAACCCUAGAAAAAGGAAGGGGAAGGAGUAUAUAUUGUCUAGGGGGCAGAGAGGUACAUGGGCUUCAGCCUUUUACUAUGCGCAGACAGGCGGGGCCGGAUGUCCGGGCGUCGGGCCGGAUGUCCGGGGCUUCCGGAGGGGACGGAUGUCCGGGCUAGGUGGCCGGAUGUCCGGGCUGGAGGCGAAAGCUUCUGUAGGUUCUGGUGCGUGGCACCGGAUUUCCGGACUGGGGCCGGAUGUCCAGGCUGGAUGCCGGAUGUCCGGGCCCUGUAGACUUGGCCAACUUGGAUGUUGCUGAGGAAGACGCUCCAGGGGCCGAAUGUCUGGGGCCUUGGUCGGAUGUCCGGGGCCUGGAAGGUGAGCUUGCCCGUUUCCGUUGGUUCUCCUCAUCCAUUUAGUUGGCGGCUUAUCUGUCUUCACGUGCAUCCUCGGGAGGUUCUUCUUGACACCUAAUCAUGCAUAGCAUAUCAGACUCAGGUAGUAGCCAUGUCUCGAGUGGAUCAUAUGUGAUAUUACUAAGGAAAGAAGUCACCUCGGUCUCGAGAGCUCUAGCUCGUGCUAUAGUCAUGGGUCCUCUUGGUGCUUGGUGAGAUGAUGGAAGGUCCAUGGGGAUGACCGAAGGAUGCUCCGCAUCAUCUCCCCCCCCCCCCUGGGAGAGAUCCGACCUCGGAUCGAAAUCCUCAUCACCAUGGUACGGGAAGAGAUAGGAGACGUUGAAGAUGUCGCUCACGUUGUACUUGUCGUGUGGGAGAUCGAUCUUGUAAGCGUUGUUGUUGUAGCGUGCUAGCACCUUGAAGGGUCCGUCAGCUCGAGGGAGAAGCUUGGACUUGCGUUCGUUGGGGAAGCGGUCCUUGCGAAGGUGUAGCCACAUGAGGUCUCCAAUGUUGAAUAUCAUGGGAUGCUUGUUGACUUUGAGCUUGGUCGUGAGUCGUUGUACUUGGCACUCGAUGGUGUGUCUUGUAUCUUCAUGCAUCUUCUCGAUGUAGCUUGCACGGGCCCUUGCGUCGAGGUUGGUGCGCUCUUGUAGAGGAAGAGGUAGAAUGUCCAAUGGGAAGAAACGGGUUGAAGUCGUAGACGACCUUGAAGGGGGACUUGCCGGUCGUCGAAUGUCUUGCACAGUUGUAGGCAUACUCGGCGAUGGGUAAACACUCCUCCCACUCCUUGAAGUUCUUCUUGAUCAACACGUGAAGUAGAGUGGAGAGUGUACGGUUUGUCACCUCCGUUUGGCCGUCGGUUUGAGGAUGGUAUGCGGAUGAGAACAAGAGCUUGAUUCCGAGCUUGGCGCAUAGGGUCUUCCAAAAAUAACUCAAGAACUUGAUGUCGCGGUCGGAGACGAUUGUCUUUGGUACUUUGUAGAGACGCAAGAUUUCCCUACAAAAUAGGUUUGCAAUGUGUGAAGCAUCGUCUAUCUUGUUGUAAGGGAUGAAAUGUGCCAUCUUAGAAAAUCGGUCCACAACAACAAACACGGAAUCCUUGCCAUUUUUAGUUCUAGGUAAACCAAGUACAAAAUCCACGCUAAUGUCUUCCCAAGGUUGAUAAGGAAUAGGAAGAGGCAUGUAAAGACCAUGGGAUUGAGCUUUAGACUUAGCUUGUGACAUGUAGAGCAUCGGGUGGUGAAGCGGGAGACGUCGCGGAACAUCUUGGGCCAAAAGUAGUUCUUGGAGAGCGUAGCAAAUGUCUUGUCGUGUCCAAAAUGUCCUAUGAGUCCGCCUCCAUGAGCCUCUUGCAAAAGGAGCAAACAAAGAGAAGACUCGGGAAUGCAUAUUUUGUUAGCUCUCAUAAGAUAACCAUCCUUGAUGUAAUAUUGUUCCCAAGAUGUAUGCGUCAAACAUUUAGCAUAAGCAGUCGCAAAAGAUGGAUCAUUAGCAUACAAGUCUUUUAUGUGCUCAAAGCCAAUAACAUUCAACUCAAGUUUAGUGACAAGCGUGCAUAUGCGUGAAAGUGCAUCGGCAACUACAUUUUCCUUACCCUUAAUGUACUUGAUCACAUAGGGAAAAGAUUCAAUAAAUUUACUCCAUUUGGCAUGACGCUUGUUCAACUUAGUUUGACCUUUUAAGUAUUUAAGCGUUUCAUGAUCGGUAUGUAUGACAAACUCACGAGGUCUAAGAUAAUGUUCCCAAACAUGUAGCACGCGCACUAAAGAAUACAAUUCUUUGGCAUAGAUGGGAUAGUUAAGUUGAGCACCGGAGAGUUUUUCACUAAAAUAUGCGAUGGCUCAUUUUUCUUGCAUUAAAACACCGCCAAUUCCGGUACCACUUGCAUCACAAUGAACCUCAAAAGUUUUGUCAAAGUUGGGCAAAGCAAGAAUCGGAGCUUAUUAAGUUGAGUAAGCAAAGACUUGAGCUCAUUAAAAGCGAUGGAUUGCAAAGAUCCCCAAACGAAAGGAGCAUUCUUCUUACUCAAGGCAUGCAAAGGAGCGUCAAUAGUGCUAAAAUCUUUCACAAAGCGACGAUAAAACCCUGCUAGACCAAGAAAACUAUGCACUUGUUGCAAAUUGGUGGGUUGGGGCCAAGUUUUAAUUGCUUCAAUUUUAGAUUCAUCAACAUGGUCACCCUUGGAAGAUACAACAAAACCCAAGAAAACCACUUUGUCAACACAAAAUGUGCACUUUUUCAUGUUUCCAUAAAGACUUUCCUUGCGAAGGGUUUGCAAAACAGCCCUAACAUGAUUAAGAUGUUCUUUCAUGGUUUUGCUAAACACAAGAAUAUCAUCGAAGUAAACCACAUCAAAGACUCCAAUAUAAGGGCGAAGCACAUAAUGCAUGAGACGCAUGAAAAUACGGGAGCCUCCGAUAAACCCAUAGGCAUAACUAACCACUCAUAUAAGCCAAAUUUGGUUUUGGAAGCAGUUUUCCAUUCAUCACCCUCUUGAAUGCGGAUUUGAUAAUAGCCACUUUUAAGAUCAAUUUUUGAGAAAAAGUUGGCUCCACUAAGUUCAUCAAGCAUAUCAUCUAAGUGAGGAAUGGGAUGCCUAUAGGAAAAAGUAAUAGCAUUUAUAGGUCUACAAUCGGAACACAAGCGGAAACUUCCAUCGGGCUUAGGCACAAGUAUAACGGGAACAGCACAAGGGCUUAAGCUUUCACGUACAUGACCGUUGUCGAUUAGCUGUUGUACUUGCCGUUGAAUCUCCUUGGUUUCUUCGGGAUUGACACGGUAUGGAGCUUUGUUUGGAAGUGGCGCUCCGGGGAUGAGGUCGAUUCGAUGGUCAAUGCCUCGUAGAGGAGGUAGACCCGGAGGUAGCUCAUCGGGGAAAACAUCUUGGAAUUCCUGCAAAAGAGAUUGAAACACUAAAGGUAGCUCAUGAGAGGUGUUAGUUUUUGGUCCCCAUCCUUGCACACAAGGACAAAGUGCAUCACACUUGAUGGGUUCUCACACACUUCUGUCAUCUCACUUUUUGUGGCAAGUAGGACUAAGUUUUUCUCUCUAGGUGAAGAGGCGCUCAAGUUUGGCUUGUGGCUCUCACUCACUUUCGGGUGGAUCACUUUCUCACUCUUCUCUCCCACGAUGGGUGGCUUGCUUGUCGGUUAUCACUUGACUAGGAGACAUAGGUCGUAGCACAUAUUCCUUCCCUUUCAUCUUGAAGCUAUAGAGAUUGGUGUGCCCAUUGUGGAUCGCAUCACGGUCGAAUUGCCAUGGUCGACCAAGAAGGAGGUGGCAAACGGUCAUGGGGACCACAUCACACUCCAAAGUGUCUUCAUAUGCACCAAUUUUGAAGGAUACUUGAACCGUAUGCUCAACUCGGAUAGUGCCGGAGUCACUUAGCCAUUGAACCUUGUAGGGGUCGGGUGUUUCCUCUUUACCAAUUGAAGCUUGGAGCAUAGUUCUUAACUUGCCAAGUUGUGACAACUACCUCCAUUGAUGAUGACCUUGACGGAUCGUCCAUUGAUGCCGGCCAUAGUGUGGAAGAUGUGGCAUCUUUGGUCUUCUUCUUGUUCAUGUUGAAGAGUCAAGACCUUGGAGACAACGAGAGCGGGGCUCGUAUCUUCAUCACAAAAGACUUGAUCAUCUUCAUCCUCGUUCACGCGCCGGUGCAUGGCCACUUGCUCAAGAGCUUCCAUCUCCUCAUCACUCAUGAAGUCAUAUGUGCCAUCUUCGUUGAGGAUCAUGGUGCGCUUGUUUGUGCAUUCAUAGGACUUGUGGCCUCGGACGCUGCAAGUGAAACACUUGAAGGAGCUUGUCUUGACGGUCUCAUCGGUCGGAGAUGACGAAGCACGCGGCUUGAUGUUGCUUGUAGUAGGAGGAAGACGAUUUGAACUUGCCGAAGUUUUCUUGUAACUUGACUUGUCGUCGUUGGUUGGAGAAGGUUUGGUUGAUGUAGAUGUUGGAGGGGUUGUUGAAGCUUGGAUGUUGGAGAAGCCGUAUGUCUUGGAUGAGUACUUGGCGUACUUGAAGUCAUCUUGGACUUGAUGUUCCGCCUUUGUAGCUUGAUGUACGAGCUCAAUAAGGUUGGAGUAGGGUUGGAAGUCGGCGAUCUUCUUGAUGGGAUGAUUGAGUCCAUUCAAGAAUCGUGCCAUUGUUUGCUCAUCAUCCUCCGUGACAUUGGCUCGAAUCAUGGCAAUUUCCAUUUCCUUGUAGUAUUCUUCAACACUCUUUGUUCCUUGCUUGAGGAGUUGUAGCUUUUUGAAGAGAUCGCGGUUGUUCCUUGCGCGCAUGACAUCCUUCAUUUGAGCCCAAGUGGUGAUUGGAGGUUCACCUCUUGCUUGUCAGCGCUCAAGGACUUGUUCCCACCAUAUGAGCACAUAGUCUUGGAACUCGAGUGAUGCCAUAGCGAUCUUCUUCUCUUCCUCAUAGUUGUGCAAGCGAAAGAUUUUGUCGACCUUAAAUGAGAGGUAUUCUUCGGGAUCAUUGCUUCCAUUGAACUUGGGCAUUGUGAAUUUGAGCUUGCCAUAGCGUUGCUCUUCAUUGUGUUGUGGGUGAUGGUGAUGAUGACGCCCUUGACGGUGAGGGUAAUUGAUGUAGGGGGGAACCCUAGGUGAAGAUCUUUCACGAAUUGGAGGGGGAAUCCCCAAGAACAAGAUGAACAAAAGAGGGAAAACAAGAGGAACACUCAAGAACAAGUCAAAUCACACAUCCACUGGACAAUCAAACACAUAAGAUCCACAAGGUACAUGAACAACAAAGGGAAAUAAGAUACCUGGUAGAGUUCAUCCCAAAUCCUAUGAAGGAGAUGAGGGCUUGAUGAUCUAGAUAGAUCCUUCCCUCAAGGGGGUCCUCAUCCACUAGGGAUCUUCUCCAAUGGAGGCCUUGAACUCCAAUGGAGUGGAAUCCCACAAGGGGAGGUACAUGAGCUAAGCUCUAAUGUUUAGAUCUAAUCUUAGCGUCCUAUAAAUGGAGGAGAUGAAGGAGUAUAUAUAGUCCUAGGCAAAGAGAUGGAUAAGUGGGGGUGAAAUGGUAAAACAAGGGCAAAGCCCGCAACAUCACACAGGGGGCCCCGUGUGCACGGGGUAAGUGGAGCCCGUGCGCACGGGGUAUCCAGGGACCUGAUGCAAGGGCCCGUGCGCACGGGGUCCGUGAGGCCCGUGGACAUGGGGGUCCCGUGGGCACGGUACACGCUCGUGCGCACGGGGUCUUCAGGACCGCCAGCCUAGGAGGCCCGUGGGCACGGGGUCGGAGGGGCCCGUGCGCACGAGGUCGCCUGGGAGCUGCUUCCUUCUUCUUGACGCUUCCUUCUCCGCUUCUAGGCUUCCCUCUUGGAUGGUGUAGAUGUUCUCUUCCGCAUGAACUCGUCCUCGCUAUGUUUGAAGCUCCGACAAUACCUAUGAAUGCACAUGGAAGGAAUGUCAAGUAGUAUACCAUCCUCAAAGGGGUCAAGUGAACACGUGUAAAGGAGAUGAUUCACCUUUAUGUAUGUGAAGUAGAUGUGGCACGUGUCACUUGCCAAACGAACUCUUGACAUGGUGAUGUCCAUAGGAUGCUCCGCAUCAUCCCCUCCCCCUUGGGAAAGAUCCGACCUCGGAUCGAAAUCCAAAUCACCAUGGGAAAGAGAUGAUGGCGUCGUGUAGAAGUGGACGAUCACCAAGCAUUCGUCAUCUUGUAGUUCCAAAUGGGCACUCUCCAAUGUCGCACCAUCUUGUAAUUCCUUCAAAAGGAGCAAAGAUAACAAGCACUUGGAAAAACAAAGGUGGUUGUCGUAAGAGCAAAACCAAGCAUUCAAGAGGUGAUUCACCCAACAAGUGUUGUCAUCAAGCAUAGCAUAUGGUUUGGCAAAGAAGUGUGUCAUGGCAUUUGAGCAUAUAAAUUGAGCACAAUCAAGUACAUCAUGGGAACAAGUAUGCAAAUGGGAGGUCAAGAUGCAAAUAUAUGUGAUAAGUGAACAAGCAUCUACCUCAAGGUCAUAGCAAGCAUGCAUAAAGUGCUCAAUGAACGGUCUAUGGUAGGCAUAAGAGUCAUUCACAACACCAAAUAUAGUGAAAUGUCUAAACACAUGGGGCAAGUGCAAGACAAUCCAAGCAUAACAUGCAUAGGGUGUAGUGAAGAUAUCGUGGCACUCAACACAAUGGAAAGAGCAAUUGUUCAACAUGUGUGAGGUAAUCAAGUCAAGCAUGUGAUAAGCAAAGGGACAUGGCAUAUGUGAAGAACUAGAUGCAACACACAAGGCAUAUAUAUCAUGUGGCAUGGCAAUGUGGUAAUGAUAGGUCGAAGCAAGAUCGCUAGCAUGUGUGCAAGGUGUCAUGGAGCAAGCAACACAUGAAGUACGAUCCACAAUAUGCAUGCUCAUGGUCUGGGUGUUCUCAAGAUAGAAGGAUAUCACCUCGAAAGCAUGACCUUGUGCAUUCUUCACAAUGUCGAAGUGGUAGGAAAUGUGGUGUAGAAACGAGUCAUGGUCGAAUGUAUGAGGCUCGCUCUCAAGAGCUUGAAUGGUCAACUCAUAUGAAGUGGAAGUCUACACGAAGUCCAAGUAUCCUACACAUGCACACAACAAAACAAAGAGCGUAUGCGCAUGGUAGAUAAACACAUCAUCCAUCAUGAUGGUUCUCUUCUCUUGCACAUAACCAUUAGAAGCACAAGUGCAUGAAUAAUAUGAUGCAACAAUGGCGGUAUUCAAGGCACUAGGUAUAUGGUGCAAAGAGGUAAGACAAGCAUGCUUCACAAGGAAUAUGGCAAAAUCUCCAAACAUAUGUGAGAGUGCUAUGGGGGCAAUAUUAUGAGCAAGACUAUAAGCAUUGUUGCACUCAAUACAUGGCAAGUCAUCUAGCAUGAUAGAUGCAACAUAUGGAGAUAUGUGACAAGAAGCAAUAACAAUCAUGUGCAACACAUGUAGAUGGUUGUCAUCAACCGCAUGAAAUGAGCAAGUAUGAGUCAUUGGUGAUGCAACAUAAGCAAGUACAUCAAUCAAGUCGUGCAAACUAGUGGAGCGAAGAUGCAACACACUAGAGUAAAUCAUGGAAAUCAUGUCAUGUGAGCAAAUACCAGGCAUAGACAAUGCACAUGACAUAUCGUAAGCAUGUACACAAAGCAAGAUGAAAGUAUCAUCAUAGGAAUGGGUCAUAGAUGGAACAUGGCAAUAACAAGCAAUAUCUCCACCAAGCUUGCAAAUACACAUACAAGUAUGAGAAUCAAUCAUCAUGUGUACUGCAAAGCAUGGGUCACAAAUGCAUGCAAAGGCAUAGGAAUGAGCAUAUCAUGCAAAGUGAACAUGGACAACAACCCAUAGCCAAGUGAGGGCCAUGUAGAAGAAAUGCGCAAAUUCUUUGCGCAAAGAGAGCGGUGGGAAAGACAAUCCAUGGGAUCCCAAAUCAUCGUUGAUCCCUAGAGCUCGUUUUGUCAACUCGUGGGAUUGCGAGGUUGACAAGUAUUCAUGGGUACCUACACAAAAGAGACACAAACGAAAGAAAUUGUGUGUGUGGUAAAUGUACACAUCAUCCAUCAUGAUGUGUAUGUGCACGUGUGAGUUAGCACAAGAUAAGCAAUGCUCAAAGAAAUUUGAGGCAUGGUAUAUGAACAUGUCAUCCGUCAAGCAAUGAUAGUUAUUGUGUUCAACAUGAUUUGGAUGCAAUUUAUAGCAAGUGUGAGGCACAACAAUAGCAUUUUUAUUCAUGGGGAGCAUAUGGUGCACACAAUCAUGGGAAUCAUGUAAAUCAUAGGAUGGAUCAAAAUCUCCUAAUAGGUAUGCGAAAACUAUGGGGUUCUCCUCAUGAGCAAUAUCGGAAGCAUAAUAUGGACAAAAUGGACAACAUCCAUAACAAUGCAUAUCCGAAGCUAGGUGGUCAUGGCAUGGCAUAUGAGAUAAAUGAUGCAAAGGAAGCAUAUCAAUAUCAUCACAAGAAAAACAAAUGCCAAUAACCAUGGGCUUGUCAUCUAUGCCAUAUGUGCAAAUUGGGUUUAUUUUAAUGGCAUAUGCAUAGUCACUACGAAGAGAUUGAAAAUAUGACAUACGGGAGAUCUCAUGCAUAGCAUAUGUCAAGUCAAGCGGAUUAUCAAACAUGAUGUGACCAAGAGAAUUAUCACAAGAAAUCUUAUGUAACAUGGCAUCACAACUACUAAACUCCUCAUGGCAAUCAUCAAACUCAUCAUAAAUGGGUAAAUCAUUGCAUGGGGAAAUCAUACUAGCAUGAAGCAUCGUAAUAGGUGGAUCAACAUCAUGCAAGCAAUCAAUUUCAAGAACGUCCACUAGUGGGACUAGAGUAUCACCUUCACCUUUGUCGUUCCACUCAAGUGGUGUAGGUGAGGUGGGGAGGACCAAAUCAUGUUCAUCUUCAUCGUGAUGGAACCAUGUGGGGGGUGCAUCAUAGUCCACCAUGGCCAUCGUCAUGUCCAAAGGGAGGACAAAGUCGUCGAGGAUCAGCGCGUCAUCAUAUAUGGGACCUAGCACCAAAUGAGAAGACACAAUAGAGGUAGAGGUUAAGUUGUUAGAAAGCGAAAUGGCCUCAUAUGCCUCAUCAACUAUCUCACUCUCCCUAUGUGGUGGUGGCUCACUCACUCCCUCAAGGUAGGUGCACUCAAUGUCACAUAUGGUGGAGUCACUCAAAUCACUCAAGUGGUGGUGGUGGUGGCUCUCCUCACAUGGGAAUUGGGGCAGCGCAUCAUAUAUGGGGCUAGUGGUGAAGUCACUCUCACUGUCAAUAUGGUGGCAGAAGUCACUCAAGUCAUCAUACGUCGCCAUGGUCAAUGGGAAAAUCCCAUGCUCAACCAUCUCGUCGUCGUCGUGGAUGAAGGCCGAAGAUGGCAAAUCAUCACUCUCCUUCAUGACCGAAGGGAAAAUCCCAUGCUGGAUCAUCUCGUCACCGUCGCCAUGGAUGAAGGCUGAAGAUGGCACAUCAUCACUCUCGCCUCCGAAGAUGGAAGCAUCAUCCUUGCUCGCCACCUUGUCGCUUGCCUCCAAAGCUUGGUCUUUGAAGGUCUAUGUAGUCGUACUUGUCACCACACCAUCUUGGAAAAGAGUCAAGGUAGACUUGGCAUCAUCAAUGCCACAAAGAGGGAUGGCGGUGAAGUCGCACUUGGGAGCAUCUCCUUGGAGCUUAUCGGGCUUGGACAUCGUGGUGGUACUAGCCUCAUGCUUGUCGUAGAGCUUGGUCGCCGCGAAGUUUGCUUGGGGUGGAGAAGCCUUGGCCUUCAUGAGUUCUUGUUCCACCUUGAGAGCACCAAUAUAGUAGUCGUCGAUGGACUUGUAGUUCUCGAGGAAGAUAGUCUUGGAGAUGUCGUUGUUCAAUCCCAUCAUGAAGUGGAACUUCAUCGAAAUGGGGUCGUCCACGCCUGCUCGUCGCAAGGCAAUCUUCAUCUCCUUGAAGUACGCGUUGAUGGACUUGGAUCCUUGGAUGGUGUUCUCCAAUUGGCAUUGAAGUUGUUCCGUGUAGGUUGGAGGCACAAACUCUUGCCGCAAAGCUCUCUUCGUCUUGGGCCAACUCAUGUCGUAGUACUCCGAAGGUGUGUGAAGCCACCAUGUCGAGGCGUAGUCAUGGAAGUUUCUUGUGGUGCACUUCACUUGAUGUUCGGAAGGGACUUGAUGUAGCUUGAGGUAGUCGUCCGUCAAACGCUCCCACUUGAGGUACUCCUCGGGAUCUUUAGUCCCAUAGAAAGGAAUCGCAUGGUCGAUGUCGAGGUCGUAGUAGCUCAUGGAAGUCACGGACUUGAGCUUGGGGAGCUUCUCUUGAGCGUAGUCUUGGGGUGCUUGUUGGCAAAGAUGUCGUACAUCCGAAGGCGAAGAUGCCUUGAAGUCACUUGGCGAAGAUGCCAAGUGUGUUGAAGAAGCUGCAGCCUUGUAGUUGAUGUCGUGACUCUGUAUAGCCCGUGUGCACGGGGGUACAAGAGGCCGUGUGCACGGGGGUCGAGGGCCCGUGUGCACGAGGUUGGCAGAGAAGCCAACUCUCAUCCAGGAGGUUGCUCUUCAUGGUCCUGUCGAUGUCGAUGCUAGUGUGUACUUGCCGGAGAUGGUAGCUCGGGAGUCUUUGCACUUGAGCAUAUUCUCGAAGAUGAGGAAGACCGCUUUGCGGUUCUUGAUGAGGGCCUUGAGCUCCUCCAUGCGCUUGUCCAUCUUGGCGUCGAGGAAUUUCUUCAUAGCAUCGGACUCAUGUCGUUGUUGUAGACCGGAGAUGAUGUGCUUUGCCUAUCCAUCACAAGACUCGAGCAAAGGUGAGUAGGAAAUGAGAUAAACAAUACCAAGCUACCUUUUCCCAAAGUUGAGGAUGUAUCUUGUAUCACUCAAUGUGAAAUGAAAGAAUAGUGGAAUUGGUACCGGACUUGUUCACUCACACCUACAAAGUAAAUCUUAUCGAGUGGCUUGGUUAGGACAAGUGGCACAAAUUUCAUGCAAAUUGAAGUCCAAGAUAUUGUAAAUGUUGAAAUAAAUCCAAAGGACUCAAAAUGCAAAGCAAGUGAUCACAAAUAUAGAGGAGGGCAAUAAAGAAACACACACGGUGGGAUAAUGGGGCUUGUGCAACUAUAGGGAUGAGCAAUAAAAAAUUGCCUAAUGAAGAUGAAGCUCGUGUUGCACAAACACUAGGAGAGCACUAGCUUGAUUGCACACUUGGGCACGAUUCACUACUUGGCACCAACCUAUAUGUAUGCAACAAGAAUGUUUCCUAUUCCAUGUAUCCUCAUGCACAGGUAUCUCUUUUCAUGCUCAACUCUUUGCUUAUAAGCUUAUGAUCAUUCUCUUUCUUGCUUAAAAGCUUUUUUUGCUCUUCUCUUCCUUUCCACUAUGAUUGAUGAGCCUCAACCACAAAUAUGCGACAAGUAUCACAAGAUAUGCACGGGAGGAAACAAUGGCACUAUAUGAUAUAUCCAAGGAUGCAACAAUAUGAGAUCGUAUCACUAUGGUGCACAAGUUUUCGCGAAGCCCGGCAAUACUCGGAUAGCUAGUCUCAAUGGGUAUGAAUGUAUUCGCAAAGAUGGUGAGGCUAUCAAGAUGUAAUGGCAAGGAAGGAGAAGUUUAUGACGGAAUGGUUACCUUCGUCACACUUAACCUUUCAUGAAGUCGGGGGUAACCGGCCUUGCUUCCGGUUGAAGAUGGUCUCAAAGGAUGGAUGGUCGUCGUCGAUGUGGAAGCUCGUGGUGGAUGUAGUCGAUGGACCGAUACAAGUCACUAGUGGUGGAUGAAGAUGCAACCAUCCCUAAGUAGCCGAAACACCUUAGGAGACUCAAAUCACAACUCAAACAACCACAAAUACCAAAGGAACCAAAAUGGGUUAGUUUGCCGAAGUUUUAUGUGGUGGUGCGAAAGUUAUGGCAGAGGGCCAAUGCAAAAGAUGCAAAAUGGACAAAAUUUGAUGGAGUCAAAUGGUGGUAAAACCAAGAUGAGCAGCUCGGGCACGUCGCUAGCUUUUCAACGAGCCAAAGAACACCCAAAUCGGAGUUCGGAUGCGAGAGUUACGGCCAAAACGGUGAAGUACUCGCGGCUGCUAUAGGGGGGCCGUGCGCACGGGGUCCAGGGCCCGUGGACACGGGGUCCCGUGUGCACGGUACACGUACCGAGGACACGGGGUCUCCAAGGACUUCGCGGGGGCCCGUGGGCACGGGGUGGGGAGCCCGUGGGCACGGGGUAGGCGGAAAUUUCGUGAUUUUCUUGUCAAAUUCGAAGGGGGAAAGAAAAAUUGGGGUAUGGGGACGCAAUAGGAGGUAGAUCUACUUACUAUACAUCAGAUCCAUGGAUCAAAAUCAACAAAAACUCACAAAAACUUCAAAUCACAAAAAAAUUGGUAUGGCUCUUUUUGUGGGAAUUUUCGAAAUUGGGCAAGAACAAGCAAAAUUAGGCUAGAAAACUAAGAGGGGGGCUUCAAUUUCGUGAGAAACCAUGGCUCAUGAUACCAAGAUGAUGUAGGGUGGAACCAUAGGUGAAGAUCUUUCACGAAUUGGAGGGGGAAUCCCCAAGAACAAGAUGAACAAAAGAGGGAAAACAAGAGGAACACUCAAGAACAAGUCAAAUCACACAUCCACUAGACAAUCAAACACAUAAGAUCCACAAGGUACAUGAACAACAAAGGGAAAUAAGAUACAUGGUAGAGUUCAUCCCAAAUCCUAUGAAGGAGAUGAGGGCUUGAUGAUCUAGAUAGAUCCUUCCCUCAAGGGGGUCCUCAUCCACUAGGGAUCUUCUCCAAUGGAGGCCUUGAACUCCAAUGGAGUGGAAUCCCACAAGGGGAGGUACAUGAGCUAAGCUCUAAUGUUUAGAUCUAAUCUUAGCGUCCUAUAAAUGGAGGAGAUGAAGGAGUAUAUAUAGUCCUAGGCAAAGAGAUGGAUAAGUGGGGGCGAAAUGGUAAAACAAGGGCAAAGCCCGCAGCAUCACACAGGGGGCCCUGUGUGCACGGGGUAAGUGGAGCCCGUGCGCACGGGGUAUCCAGGGACCGGACGCAAGGGCCCGUGCGCAUGGGGUCCGUGAGGCCCGUGGACACAGGGGUCCCGUGGGCACGGUACACGCCCGUGCGCACGGGGUUUUCAGGACCGCCAGCCUGGGAGGCCCGUGGGCACGGGGUCGGAGGGGCCCGUGCGCACGGGAUCGCCUGGGAGCUGUUGCCUUCUUCUUGACGCUUCCUUCUCCACUUCCAGGCUUCCCUCUUGGAUGGUGUAGAUGUUCUGUUCCGCAUGAACUCGUCCUCGCUAUGUUUGGAGCUCCGACAAUACCUAUGAAUGCACACGGAAGGAAUGUCAAGUAGUAUACCAUCCUCAAAGGGGUCAAGUGAACACGCGUAAACGAGAUGAUUCACCUUUAUGUAUUUGAAGUAGAUGUGGCACGUGUCCCUUGCCAAACGAACUCUUGACAUGGUGAUGUCCAUAGGUUGCUCCACAUCAGUAAUCAUCCUCAUGUUGUUCUUGGCGUGGAGGAAGUCCAUGAUCAACUUGCUCUUGUUGAACUUGAGGUUGAGGUGGAGCUUGACGAGCUUGUGAAGGAGCUUGUGGAGCUUGACGUUGCACACGAGGUUGGUAGUUCCUCUCUUGGAUUUCUUCUUGAAGGGCUUCCUCUUGAUUGCGCCGCUGGCGAUUGCAGUUGGCGAUAGAUCGACUUGAUUCUUGAAGGGCAUGUUGCGCCUCAAGAGCUUGCACUUCUCGUUGUUGUUGUUGAAGACGUUGAGCCUCGGCGUCUUGUUGUUCUUGGUGUAGACGCGCUCUCUCUUCUUCUUCUUGGCGACGAAGACGUUGUCGUUCUUGAGCUUGAGCAAAAGCGACUUGGUUUGAUUGAGGACGAGGGACUUGCUCAUCGUCUUGCUCUUGUGAAUGCUCGAUGUGUAGGGGGUUUGCGAGAUGCAUGAUGGUCUUGAUGCGCGGCUCGACGAAGAGUGUUUAAUGACGGUGUACUUGAGCCGAAGAAGGAGUCGUCGGAGUGUCGACUUGAGUGGCUCCGUCUUGAGUAUGACGAUGUAGAAGGAGACCGGUUCACCAACAAGGUGCGGAUCUCGUCCAUUCUUGCAUCGUUCUCUUGCUUGUGCGCGUCGAGCUUGUUGUCCAAGUAGUCUCUUGUACGUUGCUCGGAGAGUCGCAAGUCGGUGGCGAGGUUGUUGAUGCGGUCGUUCAUUGCUUGUUGCUCUUGAUGCAACGCUCGUUCUGCACCGAAGAGGUGGCUCUUGGUGACGUAUGAUGACAUGUCGUCGUCUUGCUCGAUGAAGAGUGGGUUGGUAGAAGUACUCGGCCUAUCCAUCAUUCCAAACAAAAUAUGAGUGGUAGAAGGAGAAGAACUUAUACAAAUGUACCUUGACCGAUGUUGAUGAUGAAUCAAGUUCACUCAAAUGCGGACAAUGAAAUAGCCCUAUUGGUACCAAUUCUUGUCGGUUCUCACACCUACACAAAUAAAAGCUUAUGGUGGAGCUUGGUUAGGAUGGUGGCACAAAAUUUGAUGCAAUUGAAAGUGAGAUUCAAUAAUGUUAGAAAAGAUUCACAAAUUUGCAAAUGCAAUAAGUAGACCAAGCAAGUGGGUGUACACGGAAACACACACGCAAAUAGAUAAAUGGGAUUGUGCCAACCAAAAGUGAGCCAAAAUGUGGAAUCCACGAAAAUGCUCUUGUUGCACAAUACUAGAGAGACGCUAGCAUGAUUGCACAAUAGGCGGAUACGGAGCUUGUGCACAACCUACUAGGCAAAAAUGCAACGAUCUCUAUCCAAGUAUGCUAUAUUUAUGGUAUUUUGGUGCUAUGAUCCAAGAUGAUCUUAUAUGACAAUCUUAAUGUAGUAUGAUGCUAUGGUUCUUGCUUAUAAGCUCUUUGCUUAUCUUUCCUCUUUGCUUAAAUGCUUUGGUGGAUCUUUCACUUUUGAGCUCUUUUCUCAUGCAAAACUUCACGAACCAAGAUAGCAAUUGUGUAUGCGAUGACAACUUUGUGACACACAAGUUGAUGCCAAGAUAUGCACCACGGUGGUAUGGUAUGUAUGUUAUGGAGUAUGAUCACUAAUGUGCACAAGUCACGUUGCCGACAACACUCAAUGGCUAGUCUCGAUGGGUAAGCUACGCAAAAGAAAGGCCAUGUGGGGUAUCAAUGCAAUUGCACAGUAUGACAAAGAUGUCGUCGAAGUUACCGUCCUUGGCGAUGUUGAGUAGUCGAUGGAGAAGAGCGGUGGUGAUGGUGACGUCGAACCGUACCUAUAUAGCCGAAACAUAAUAGGACACGGGAACCACAAGCAUGUGUAGGAGUUGAUUGAGCCACAUGUAUGUGUUGUUCCUACCUUGCUAUGCCUGCUAUGCUUAGAGUCGUGUCAGGUCUGGUUCAUCUGGGUGAUGGGCUAGAGUGAAAUGAUUAUGUCGGUAAUGAGAGUGGUGUGGUGAACACGAUUUGGUAAAGGUAUCGAUGAGAGGCCAUGUAGGAGUACAUGGUGGGUUGUUUCAUUGAAGCCGACCUUAAGCACUGAGAUCUGUAUGUGUGAUUUAAGAAUCAGCUACUACCAUGCAUUGGGCCCGAAACCAAUGGACCCUCUCGACUUCUUAUUCACCCUAGUUCUCCGUCCAGGAGUUGCAAGUAGUUUCUGGUGUUUGUAGCCUACUGGAGGCCGUGGACAGCGCUGACCGUAGGGGUGGGCUGUGAUGCGGUAGGUACGUGGCCGGGUAUACCGAAUACCCGUUAGGUAUCUCGGGAACCCUGUUCACAUCGUUCGGGGCCGUAUGGGAAACCUCGGCCGGACUCCCUGCGGAUGGAACCUGAAUAGGCGAUAAACCUGGACUGGCGGCUUAGGUGAUUAGGUAGGUCGUGGCCGACACCCACGUUGGGCUUCCGCUUGAAGGUUGCCGAGUACAUGUCGUGUAAACGACGGUAAGUGGUGAGAGCGUGUAGGAAGAAGUACCCCCUGUAGGGUUAACAUGAUCUAUUCGAAUAUCCGCGUCCACGGUAAAGGACUACUUGGUUGCCUAUACAGUUCAUAGACAAGUAAAUGGAAACUACUAAAAGCCUCAAGAUAAGUGUGAGUGCCGAGGAUGGCUCUUCCGUAGGAAGACGGAGGUGGAUCCUCGGUAGUGUAUUGAAGUGGUGAGUAGUGGACUCGUGUGCGCAAAACAUUUCAAGUUGGAGUAUCGUAGGAUAGUCUAGCCAAGAGUCAAAGCUAGCUUGCUGCAAUAACUCCACCAACCCUUCUUGAUACUAUGCAUGUAUGUAGGAUCUGAUGUAAGUCUUGCUGAGUACUUUUGUACUCAUGUUGCUAUAAUCUACAUUUUUACAGAAGACGCUGCAACCCCUUCUGAUGGGUUCUAUGUAGACGUUGACAUCAACGAGUAGGCUAAGGACCCAGGUGGUGACCCUGAGCUUGUGAUGGACCACGUAGUAUAGUUAGGCUUCCAAGCCUCUUUUAUUUUACUAGUUGUCUGUACCCAGACAAAGUACUUCCGCUGUUGGCUUGUAUGACUGUAUGACUUGUAUGUUGGGUCGUGAGACCCGUACCUUUGUGUAUGAUAUGUAUGGCUCCCUGAGCCUUAAAUAAAGUACUUGUGUCAUAGAGUCAUGUUGUGAUGCUUCGUUGUAUUUGCACAUAUCGAGCAUAUUGUGUGUAUGGUUGAAAUGCUUGGUAUGUGUGGGAUCUGACUAUCUAGUUGUUUAUCUUUAGUAGCCUCUCUUACCGGGAAAUGUCUCCUAGUGUUACCGCUGAGCCAUGGUAGCUUGCUACUGCUCUAGAACACUUAGGCUGGCCGGCAUGUGUCCUUCUUCGUUCCUGUGUCUGUCCCUUCGGGGAAAUGUCACGCUUUGAGUACCGGAGUCCUGUUAGCCCGCUACAGCCCGGUUUACCGGAGUCCUGCUAGCCCAGUGCUACAGCCCGGACCCACUUGCUGAUGACCGACACGUUCGAAGCUGGGUCAUGGAUGCCUGUCCCUGUAAGUCUGUGGCACUUUGGGUUUACGACUAGUCAUGUCAGCCCGGGCUCUUUAUCAUAUGGAUGCUAGCGACACUAUCAUAUACGUGAGCCAAAAGGCGCAAACGGUCCCGGGAAAAGGUAAGACGACACCCGUGGGAAUACCGUGCGUGAGGCCACAAAGUGAUAUGAGGUGUUACCAGCUAGAUCGAUGUGACAUCGAGUCGGGGUCCUGACAACAUAAGAUCACAAGGUACAUGAACAACAAAGAGAAAGAUACAAGGUAGAGUUCAUCCCAAAUCCUAUGAAGGAGAUGAGGGCUUGAAUCCUAGAAGGAUCUUCCCACGAAGGGGGUCUUGAAUCCCGCGGGAUCUUCUCACAUGGAGGUCUUGAACUCCAUGGGAGUGGUAGUCUCUCUCUCUCUCAAGAGUAGAGGUAGGAGCAAAGCUCACCUAAGAAUGAGCUAUCAUAUUUGCUAACCCUAGAAAGGAGGUGAAGGUGGUCUAUUUAUAGUCUAAGCCACGAAGGGGUAAGUGGGAGAGGGAUACAAGGCCAAAGGCCCGCAGCAGCGCACAGGAAGGUACCGGUCGUCCGGUGGGUACCGGUCGUCCGGUGGCUCAGGGGGGGCCGGUCGUCCGCUAGUCAUCGGACGUCCGCUGAAACUGUUCUGUGAAGGGACACCGGUCAUCCGGUAUCUUCGGGCUUCCGUUAAUAUUACCGAUCGUCCGCUGGGGGCCGGACGUCCGCUCGCUGGGAGGUGCUGUAGCUGGUGUUGGCUGGGCCUUCUGGCUGGUGCGGCUUCCAGACGUCGGAUGUCUGGUCCCGACCGGUCGUCCGGUGGCUGUAGCAUGUAGCAGCUCCGUUUCUUCCGUCUUCUCUUUCGUGCUUCCCUCGCGGAUGGUGUAGUUGUUCCUUGGCGCUUGCACUCCUCCUCGACAUCCGUGAAGCUCCGACAAUACCUAUGCAUGCACACGGGAGAAGUGUCAAGUAGUAUACCAUCCUCGAAGGGGUCAAGUGAGCAUGUGUAAAGGAGAAGAUUCACCUUUGUGUAUGUGAAGUAGAGGUUGCACGUGUCACUUGCCAAAUGGACUCUUGACAUGGUGAUGACCGUAGGAUGCUCCGCAUCAUCCCCUCCCCCUUGUAAAAGAUCUGACCUCGGAUCGAAAACCAAAUCACCAUGAGAAAGAGAUGGUGGUGCCGUGUCGAAGUGGUCGGUCACCAAGCACUCAUCAUCUUGAAACUCGAAAUGGGCACUCUCCAAUGUCGCACCGUCUAGUGAUUCCUUCAAAAGAAGCAAGAACAACAAACACUUGGAAAAAUAAAUGUGGUGAGCGUUACUGCAAAACCAAGCAUUCAAGAGGUGAUUCACCAAACAAGUGUCAUCAUAAAGGAUAGCAUCGGGUGUGACAAAGGAUUAUGACAUGGCAUGUAAGCAUAUUAAUCGAGCACAACUAAAAAUAUCAUGUGGACAAGUAUGCAAAUGGGAGGUAGAGAUGCAAAUAUGUGUGUCAAGAGAAUAAGCAUCUACCUCAAGUUCAUAGCAAGCAUUCAUAAAUUGCUCAAUGAAAGGUCUAUGGUAGGCAUAUGAAUCAUUCAUAACACCAAGUAAAAUGAAGUGUCUAAACACAUGGGAAAAGUGCAAGACAAUCCAAGCAUAAUGUGCAUAGGGUGUAGUGAAUAUUGUGUGGCACUCAACACAAUAGAAAGAGCAAUUGUUCAUCAUGUGUGAGGCAAUCAAGGGAAUCAUGUGACAAGUAAAGGGACAUGGCAUAUGUGAAGAAAUGAGAUUGGUGCAACCAAUCAUAUGAUAGUAGCAAGUAGACCAAGAAUUGGAUGCAACACACAAGGUAUAUAUAUCAUGAAGCAUGGAAAUGUGGCAAUCAUGGGUGAAAGCAAUAUCUCGAACAUGCAUGCAAAUGGUGCAAGCAACACAUGAAGUAUGAUCCACAAUAUCCAUGCUCAAGAAGGAUGUCACCUUGAAGGCGUGUCCUUGUGCAUUCUUCACAAUGCUGAAGUGGAAGCAAAUGCGGUGUAGAAGCGAUUCGUGGUAGAAUGUAUGAGGCUCGCUCUCAAGAGCUCGAAUGGUCAACUCACGUGAAGUGGAAGUCGACACAAAGUCCAAGUAUCCUACACAUGCACAAAACAAAACAAAGAACAUAUGCGCAUGGUAGAUGAACACAUCAUCCAUCAUGAUGGUUCUCAUCUUUUACACAUAACCAUUAGAAGCACAAGUGCAUGAAUAAUAUGAUGCAACAAUGGCAGUAUUCAUGGCACUAGGUAUAUGGUGCAAAGAAGUAAGACAAGCAUGUUUCACAAGAAUUAUGUCAAAAUCUCCAAAUAUAUGCGAGAAUGCUAUGGGGGCAAUCUCAUGAGCAAGAAGAGAAUCAUUGUUGCACUCAAUACAUGGCAAAUCUAGCAUGAGAGAGGCAACACAUGGAGAUAGAUGACAAGAAGCAAUAUGAGUCAUAUGCAAAGCAUAUAGAUGGUUGUCAUCAACCGCAUGAGAUGAGCAAGUAUGAAUCAUGGGUGAUGCAACAUAAGCAAGCAUAGUGAUCAAAUCGUGUAAACUAGUGGAGCGAAGAUGCAACACACUAGAGUAAAUCAUGGCAAUCAUGUCAUGUGAGCAAAUAUUCGGCAUAGACAAUGCACAUGACAUAUCGCAAGCACGAACACAAAGCAAGAUGAAAGUGUCAUCAUAGGAAUGGUGCACAAAAGUAACAUGGCAAGAACAAGCAAUAUCUCCACCAAGCUUGCAAAUACACAUACAAGUACUAGAAUCAAUCAUCAUGUGUAAUGCAAAGCAUGGGUCACAAAUGCAUGUCAAAGGCAUAUGAAUGAGCAUAUCAUGCAAAGUGAACAUGGCAAGAUGGGCAUAUGAUAUGUAAUGAACAAUAACCCGUAGCCACAUGAGGGCCAUGUAGAAUGAAUGCAUGACGUCUUUGCGUGAAGAGAGCGGUGGGAAAGACAAUCCAUGGGAUCCCAAAUAAUCGUUGCUCUCUAGAGCUCAUUUUGUCAACUCGUGGGAUUGCGAGGUUGAUAAGUAUUCAUGGGUACCUACACAAAAGAGGCACAAACCAAAGAAAUUGUGCGCGUGGUAAAUGUACACAUCAUCCAUCAUGAUGUGUAUGUGCAUGUGUGAGUUAGCACAAGAUAAGCAUCGCUCAAAGAAAUUUGAUGCAUGGUAUAAGAACAUGUCAUCCAUCAGAAAAGAAUAGCUAUUGUGUAUGACAUGAUGGGGACACAAAUUGAGAAUGCAAGUAUAUGGCACAUUAAUAGCAUGUUUAUUCAUGGGGAGCAUAUGGUGCAGACAAGUAUGGGGAUCAUGCAAUGAAUGGGAUGGAUCAAAAUCUCCUAAUAUGUAUGAGGAAACUAUGGGGGUCUCCUCAUGAUUAAUAUCGGAAACAUCACAUGGAGAAAAUGGACAACAUCCUAAACAAUGCAUAUCCGAAGCUAGGUGGGCAUGGCAUGGCAUAUGAGAUAAAUUUUCAAAGGGAUCAUAUCAAUAUCAUCACAAGAAAAACAAAUGCCAAUAACCAUGGGCUUGUCAUCUAUGCCAUAUGUGCAAAUUGGGUUUAUUUUAAUGGCAUAUGCAUAGUCACUAUGAAGAGAUUGCAAAUAUGACAUAUGAUUGAUCUCAUGCAUAGCAUAUGACAAGUCAAGCGGAUUAGCAAACAUGAUGUGACCUAAAGAAUUGUCACAAGAAAUCCUAUGUAACAUGGCAUCACUACUAAUGGACUCCACAUGAGAAUCAUCAUACUCAUCAUAAAUGGGAAAAUCAUCACAUGGGGAAAUCAUACUAGCAUGAAGCAAGGUACUAGGUGGAUCAACAUCAUGCAAGCAAUCAAUGUCAAGAAUGUCCACUAGUGGGACUAGACCAUCACCUUCACCUAUGUUACCUUUGUCAUUCCACUCAAGUGAUGUAGGUGAGGUGGGAAAGACCAAAUGGUGGUCAAUAUCAUCAUCUUGAUGGAACCAUGUGGGGAUGCAUCAUAUUCCACCAUGGCCAUUGUCUUGUCCAAAGGGAGGACGAAGUCGUCGGGGAUCGGCGUGUCAUCAUAAAUGGGACCUAGCACCAAAUGAGAAGGCACAAUAGAGGUAGAGGUCAAGUCGUUAGUGUUGAAAGCGGCCUCACAUGACCUAUCAACUAUCUCACUCUCUCUAUGUGGUGGUUCACUCACUCCCUCAAAAUAGGUGCACUCGAACUCAUGUAUGGUGGAGUCACUCAUCUCACUCAAGUGGUGGGGGUUGUGGCUCUCCUCACAUGGGAUUUGUGGCAACACAUCAUAUAUGGGGCUAGUGGUGAAGUCACUCUCACUCUCAAUAUGGUGGCAAAAGUCACUCAAGUCAUCAUACGUCGCCCUGGUCGAGGUGAAAUACUCAACCAUCUCAUCGCCGUCGCCAUGGAUGAAGGCCGAAGAUGGCACAUCAUCACUCUCCUCCAUGACCGAAGGUAAAAUCCCAUGCUGGAUCAUCUCGUCAUCGUCGUGGAUGAAGGCUGAAGAUGGCACAUCAUCACUCUCGCCUCCUAAGAUGGAAGCAUCAUCCUUGCUCGCCACCUUGUCGCUUGCCUCCAAAGCUUGGUCCUUGAGGGUCUCCAUAGUCGUACUCGUCGCCGCACCAUCUUGAAAAAGAGUCAAGGUAGACUCGGCAUCAUCAAUGCCACAAAGAGGGAUGGCGAUGAAGUCAAACUUGGGAGCAUCAUCUUGGAGCUCGUCGGGCUUGGACAUCUUGGUGGUACUAUCCUCAUGCUCGUUCUCAUGGAGCUUGGUCGCUGCGAAGUUUGCUUGGGGUGGAGAAGCCGUGGCCUUCAUGAGUUCUUGUUCCGCCUUGAGAGCACCAAUGUAGUAGUCGUCGAUGGACUUGUAGUUCUCGAGGAAGAUGGUCUUGGAGAUGUCGUUGUGCAAUCCCAUCAUGAAGUGUAAGUUCAUCCAAAUGGGGUCGUCCACGCCGGCUCGUCGCAAGGCAUGCUUCAUCUCCUUGAAGUACGCGUCGAUGGACUUGGAUCCUUGGAUGGUGUUCUCCAAUUGGCGUUGAAGUUGUUCCGUGUAGGUUGGAGGUACAAACUCUCGCCGCAAAGCUCUCUUCGUCUUGGGCCAACUCAUGUCGUAGUACUCCGAAGGUGUGAGCCACCAUGCAAAUGCGUAGUCGUGGAAGUUUCUUGUGGCGCAUUUCACUUGAUCUUCGGGAGGAACUUGAUGUUGCUUGAGGUAGUCGUCCAUCAAACGCUCCCACUCGAGGUACUCCUCGGGUUCUUGAGUCCCAUAGAAAGGAAUCUCAUGGUCGAUGUCGAGGUCGUAGUAGCUCGUGGAAGUCGCGGACUUGAGCUUGGGGAGCUUCUCUUGAGCGUAGUCUUGGGGUGCUUGUUGGUGAAGAUGCCGAAUAUCCGAAGGCGAAGAUGCCUUGAAGUCGCUUGGCGAAGAUGCCAAGGGAGAUGGUGAAGUCGUUGAGCGGUUGUUGGUGUUGAGCUCUUGACCUUCACGUUCUUGUUGAUGAUGGUGUCGAUGCCGAUGUGAUCUUGCCGGAGAUGGUCGCUCGGAAGGAUGUGCUCUUGAGCGUCUUCUCGAAGAUGAGGAAGAUCGCUUGUAGGACUUGAUGAGGGAUUUGAUCUCCUCCAUUUUAGCUUGCAUCUUGGCGUCGUAGUUGUUUUCCGUGUCAUCGAACUCGUCGUUGUUGUUGUAGACCAAAGGUGAAAUGCCUUUCCUAUCCAUCACAAGACUCGAGUAGAGGUAUGUAGGAAAUGAGAUAAACAAUACCAAGUUACCAUUUCCCAAAGUUGAGGAUGUAUCCCGUUUCACUCAAUAUGAGAUGAAAGAAUAGUGGAAUUGGUACCGGACUUGUUCACUCACACCUAUCAAGUAAAGCUUAUGGUAGAGCUCGGUGAGGAUAGUGGCACAAAAAUUUGAUGCAAAAUGUUAGCAAGAGUCAAUAAUGUUGAAAGAGAUUCACAAAUUCGCAAGCAAAACAAGUAGACCAAUAGCAAUAUGUGGCACACGGAAACACACACGGAUAGAUAAAUGGGGUCAUGCAACCAAGGAAUGAGCAUAAAAUGUGGAAUCCACGGAAAACGCUCGUGUUGCACAACUCAAGAGAGACGCUAGCACGAUUGCUCAAUAGGCGGAUACAACACUUGUGCACAACCUAUAAGAUGCAAAAGGAUAAACUUUCUAUCCCAAGUAUGCUAUGUAUGUAUGGUUCCCGGUGUUUCUCACACAAUGAUCCAAGAUGAUCAAAUAUGAUACCAUAUGAUAUAUUUUGAUGCUAUGGCUAUUGCUUACAAGCUCUUUGCUCACUCUUUUUCUUUGCUUAAAAGCUUAUUCUCUUUUUUUUUCUAUGGCCAAUUUUGCACAAUGCACAAACCAAGAUAGCAAUUGUGUAUAUGCGGGAACAAACUUGUGACACAAUAUAUGAUACCAAUAUGAUAUGGUAUGUAUGCAAUGGAUGGUGUAGAUCACUAAUGUGCACAAGUAACAUUGCCGGCAAUACUCAAAUGGCUAGUCUCGAUAGGCAAGUAACGCAAAAUGGGCUAGGGGUUAACAAUGCAAUGGCAAGGGUAAUAUACAAUGGUGUCGUCGAGGUUACCGUCCUUGGUGAUGAUGAGAGGUGGUGUUGCCGAUGUCGACCCGUUCCUAGUUAGCCGAAACACCCUAGGAAACGGAAAACCGCAAACUGAAAUUCUCAAAGGCAAAUGUCAAAUGGUAGAAGCGGAAAGCAGUGGUGGUUUGCACUUGGCAAUGCGGAAGUGGUGGUGGUGGUUGAUGAAGAAGCAAUCGUCCCUAAGUAGCCGAAACACCUUUGGAGACUCGAAUCACUACUCAAGCAACCACUAAUGCGAUCGUGAAUAAAAUGGGUUAGGUUGCAGAAGUCGGUGGUGGCUAUGCGGGUGAUACGGUGGUAGCCCUAGGCAAAUAUACCAAAAUUCACAAAAUUUGAUGGAGUCAAGUGAUGCUGGUGGUAUUUUUGUGGGAUGGGGGAUGUCAAUAGCUUCAAAACGAGCUAAAGAAUGUCAAAAUCGGAGUUCGGAUGAAUUAGUUAUGGAUGAAACAAGAAUCAACCGAAGUUGAUAUGUACAGGUAGCGGACGUCCAGAAAUGGAUGGAUGUCCGGUGGCCGGACGUCCGGUGAGCUCGGAAAUCCGCUAAUUUCGUUCUGGAAUGGGAUGCCGGACGUCCGGUAAGUAGCGGAUGUCCAGUGGUUCCUGGGGCUCCGGACGUUCGGUAAAGUGGCGGUCGUCCGGUGGGUCGGGGUCAACGCGGGAUUUGAGCUCCGGGACGCGAUUUUGGUCGGAAAAUGGAGAUUUCGGGGUCAAAAUUCACGGAAUUUCGUGGAUGAAAGAUGGGGAAACUUGGGGAAAUGCUAGAUCUACUUGAAACCAAGCAAAUCCAUGGAUCAAAAUCAACAAAACAUCAUCAAACCAACAAAUCACAAAAAAAAUUGGGGCUAUUUUUGGUGGGGAUUUUCGAAUUUUAGGGAAGAACACAACAAAACAAGGCUAGAAAACGGUGGGAGGGACUCCAAAUACGUGAUCAACGUGGCUCAUGAUACCAUAUGGUACGGGGCUAACCCGGUGUAGGUCGAUCUUUCACGUUUGGAGUGGGAUCCCUCGAAGAACACGAUGAACACGAGGAAGAACGGAGAGAAAUCACAAGGGGAAACACUCAAGAACAAGUGCAAUCACACAUCCACUAGACAAUCAAACACAUAAGAUCACAAGGUACAUGAACAACAAAGAGAAAGAUACAAGGUAGAGUUCAUCCCAAAUCCUAUGAAGGAGAUGAGGGCUUGAAUCCUAGAAGGAUCUUCCCACGAAGGGGGUCUUGAAUCCCGUGGGAUCUUCUCACAUGGAGGUCUUGAACUCCAUGGGAGUGGUAGUCUCUCUCUCUCUCAAGAGUAGAGGUAGGAGCAAAGCUCACCUAAGAAUGAGCUAUCAUAUUUGCUAACCCUAGAAAGGAGGUGGAGGUGGUCUAUUUAUAGUCUAAGCCACGAAGGGGUAAGUGGGAGAGGGAUACAAGGCCAAAGGCCCGCACUGCGCACAGGCAGGUACCGGUCGUCCGGUGGCUCAGGGGGGACCGGUCGUCCGCUAGUCGUCGGACGUCCGCUGAAACUGUUCUGUGAAGGGACACCGGUCGUCCGGUAUCUUCGGGCUUCCGUUAAUAUUACCGGUCGUCCGCUGGGGGCCGGACGUCCGCUCGCUGGGAGGUGCUGUAGCUGGCGUUGGCUGGGCCUUCUGGCUGGUGCGGCUUCCAGGCGUCGGACGUCCAGUCCCGACCGGUCGUCCGGUGGCUGUAGCAUGUAGCAGCUCCGUUUCUUCCGUCUUCUCUUCCGUGCUUCCCUCGCGGAUGGUGUAGUUUUUCCUUGGCGCUUGCACUCCUCCUCGACAUCCGUGAAGCUCCGACAAUACCUAUGCAUGCACACGGGAGAAGUGUCAAGUAGUAUCCAUCCUCGAAGGGGUCAAGUGAGCACGUGUAAAGGAGAAGAUUCACCUUUGUGUAUGUGAAGUAGAGGUUGCAUGUGUCACUUGCCAAAUGGACUCUUGACAUGGCGAUGACCGUAGGAUGCUCCGCAUCAGAAGAGGCAUGUAAAGACCAUGAGAUUGAGCUUUAGACUUAGCUUUGCGACAUGUAGAGCAUCAGGUGGUGAAGCGUGAGACGUCGUGGAACAUCUUGGGCCAAAAGUAGUUCUUGGAAAGCGUGGCGAAAGUCUUGUCGCGUCCACAGUGUCCCAUGAGUCCGCCUCCAUGAGCCUCUUGCAAAAGGAGCAAACAAAGAGAAGAUUCGGGAAUGCAUAGUUUGUUAGCUCUCGUAAGAUAACCAUCCUUGAUGUAAUAUUGUUCCCAAGAUGUAUGCGUCAAACAUUUAGCAUAAUGAGGUGCAAAAGAUGGAUCACCAGCAUACAAGUCUUUUAUGUGCUCAAAGCCAAUAACAUUCAACUCGAGUUUAGUGACAAGCGUGCAUAUGCGUGAAAGUGCAUCGGCAACUACAUUUUCCUUACCCUUAAUGUACUUGAUCACAUAUGGGAAAGAUUCAAUAAAUUCACUCCAUUUGGCAUGAUGCUUGUUCAACUUAGUUUAAACUUUUAAGUACUUAAGCGUUUCAUGAUCGGUAUGUAUGACAAACUCAUGAGGUCUAAGAUAAUGUUCCCAAACAUGUAGGACAUGCACUAAAGCAUACAAUUCUUUGUCAUAGAUGGGAUAGUUAAGUUGAGCACCGGAGAGUUUUUCACUAAAAUAUGCAAUUGCUCGUUUUUCUUGCAUCAAAACUCCGCCAAUUCUGGUACCACUUGCAUCACAAUGAACCUCAAAACUUUUGUCAAAGUUGGGCAAAGCAAGAAUCGGAGCAUGAGUAAGAAAAGAUUUGAGCUCAUCAAAAGCGGUUGACUGCAAAGGUCCCCAAACAGAAGGAGCAUUCUUUUUACUCAAAGCAUGCAAAGGGGCGGCAAUAGUGCUAAAGUUUUUCACAAAGCGACGAUGAAAACCCGCAAGACCAAGAAAACUUCGCACUUGUUGCAAAUUGGUGGGUUGGGGCCAAGUUUUAAUUGCUUCAAUUUUAGUUUCAUCAACAUGGACACCCUUGGAAGAGACAACGAAACCCAAGAAAACCACUUUGUCAACACCAAAUGUGCACUUUUUCAUGUUGGCAUAAAGACUUUCCUUGCGAAGUGUUUGCAAAACAACCCUAACAUGAUCAAGAUGCUCUUUCAUGGUUUUGAUAAACACAAGAAUAUCGUCGAAGUAAACCACAACAAAGACUCCAAUAUAAGGGCGAAGUACAUGAUGCAUGAGACGCACGAAAGUACCGGGAGCCUCCGAUUAACCCAUAGGCAUGACUAACCACUCAUAUAAGCCAAAUUUUGUUCUGAAAGUAGUUUUCCAUUCAUCACCUUCUUGUAUGCGGAUUUGAUAAUAGCCACUUUUAAGAUCAAUUUUGGAGAAAAAGUUGGAUCCACUAAGUUCAUCAAGCAUAUCAUCUAAGCGAGGAAUGGGAUGCCUAUAGCGAACGGUGAUAGCAUUUAUAGGUCUACAAUCAGAACACAAGCGGAAACUUCCAUCGGGCUUAGGCACAAGUAUAACGGGAACGGCACAAGGGCUUAAGCUUUCACGUACAUGACCGUUUUUGAUUAGUUGUUGUACUUGCGGUUGAAUCUCCUUGGUUUCUUCGGGAUUGAUACGGUAUGGAGCUUUGUUGGGAAGUGGCGCUCCAGGAAUGAGGUCUAUUCUAUGCUCAAUGCCUCGUAGAGGAGGUAGACCCGAAGAUAGCUCAUUGGGGAAAACAUCUUGAAAUUCCUGCAAAAGAGAUUGAAACACCAAAGGUAGCUCGUGAGUGGUGUUAGUUUUUGGUUCUCCAUCUUUGCACACAAGGACAAAGUGCAUCACACUCGAUGGGUUCUCACACACUUCUCUUAUCUCACUUUUUGUGGCGAAUAGUAUGAGGUUUUUCUCUCUAGGCGAAGAGGCGCUCAAGUUUGGCUUGUUGCUCUCACUCAUGUUUUGGUGGCUCACUUUCUCACUCUUCUCUCUAUGGUGGGUGGCUUGCUUGUCGGCCAUCACUUGACUGGGAGACAUGGGUCGUAGCACAUAUUCCUUACCUUUCAUCUUUAAGCUAUAGUGAUUGGUACGCCCAUUGUGGACGACACCACGGUCGAAUUGCCAUGGUCGACUAAGAAGGAGGUGGCAAACGGUCAUUGGGACCACAUCACACUCCAAAGUGUCCUCAUAUGCACCAAUUUUGAAGGAUACUUGGACCGUAUGCUCAACUCGUAUAGUGCCGGAGUCACUUAGCCAUUGAACCUUGUAGGGGUGCGGGUGCUUCCUCUUGACCAAUUGAAGCUUGGAGCAUAGCUCUUCACUUGCCAAGUUGUGGCAACUACCUCCAUCGAUGAUGACCUUGACGGACCUUCCAUUGAUGCCGGCCUUUGUGAGGAAGAUAUGACAUCAUUGGUCUUCUUCAUGUUGAUGUUGAAGUGUCAAGACCUUGGAGACAACGAGAGCGGGGCUCGUAUCUUCAUCACAAAAGACUUAUCAUCUUCAUCCUCGUUCACGCGCCGGUGCAUGGCCACUUGCUCAAGAGCUUCCAUUUCAUCUUCACUCAUUGAGUCAUAAGUGCCGUCGUCGUUGAGGAUCAUGGUGCGCUUGUUGGUGCAUUGGAAGGACUUGUGGCCUCGGCCGCCACAUGUGAAGCACUUGAUUAAACUUGUCUUGACGGUCUCAUCGGUCGGAGUGGAGGAAGAAGCACGCGGCUUGUAGUUGCUUGUAAUAGGAGGAAGACGACUUGAACUUGACGAAGGUUUCUUGUAUGUUGUCUUGUCGUCGUUGCUUGGAGAAGGCUUGGUUGAAGUAGAUGUUGGAGGAGUCGUUGAAGCUUGAUUGUUGGAGAAGCCGUAUGUCUUGGAUGAGUACUUGGUGUACUUGAAGUCAUCUUGCACUUGACGUUCCGCCUUGGUCGCUUGAUGCACUAGCUCGAUGAUGUUCGAGUAGGGUUGGAAGUCGGCGAUCUUCUUGAUGGGAUGAUUGAGUCCAUUCAAGAAUCGUGCCAUUGUUUGCUCAUCAUCUUCCUUGACGUUGGCUCGAAUCAUGGCUAUAUACAUUUCCUUGUAGUAUUCUUCAACACUCUUUGUUCCUUGCUUGAGGAGUUGUAGCUUCUUGAAGAGAUCACGAUUGUAGUAGGUGGGCACAAAUCGUGCUCGCAUGACAUCCUUCAUUUGAGCCCAAGUGGUGAUUGGAGGGUCACCUCUUGCUUCUCGGCGCUCAAGGACUUGUUCCCACCAUAUGAGCACAUAGUCUUGGAACUCAAGUGAUGCCAUUGUGAUCUUCUCUUCCUCAUAGUUGUGCAAACAAAAGAUUUUGUCGACAUUCAAUGCCCAUGAGAGGUAUUCUUCCAGAUCAUUGCUUCCAUUGAACUUGGGCAUUGUGAAUUUGAGUUUUCCAUAGUGUUUCUCUUCAUCUUGAUAGCGGUUGCGAUAUCGCUCUUGCCUUGGAAAGUCCUCGAAUGCUCGCUCCUCAUGAUGUCGAUCUUGGCGUGGAGGAGGGUCUUGAAGCACUUGUUCCAGUUGGUGUCACUCUUGUCGUGGAGGAGGUCCAUGAUCAACUUGCUCUUGUUGAACUUGAGGUUGAGGUGGAGCUUGACGAUGCACACGUGGUUGGUAGUUCCUCUCUUGGAUUUCUUCUCGAAGAGCUUCCUCUUUAUUGUGCCGUUCGCGAUUGCGGUUGGCGAUGGCUCGACUUGAUUCUUGAAGGGCACAUUCUGCCUCAAGAGCUUGUGCUUCUCGUUGUUGUUGUUGAAGACGUUGAGCCUCGGCGUCUUGUUCCUCUUUGUGUAGACGCGCUCGUUCUUCUUCUUGGCGCCGUAGUCGUUGUCGUUCUUGAGCUUGAGCAAAAGAUACUUGGUUUGAUUGAGGACGAGGAACUUGCUCAUCGACUUGCUCUUGUGAAUGCUUUGCGUGUAGCGGGUUGCGAGAUGCAUGACGGUCUUGACCCGCGGCUCUUCGAAGAAUGGUCGAUGACGGUGUACUUGAGCCGGAGAAGGUGUCGUCGAAGUGUCGACUUGAGUGGCUCCGUCUUGAGUAGGAAGAAGUUGAAGGAGGCCGGUUGACCAACAAAGCACGUAUCUCGUCCAUUCUUGCAUCAUUAUCUUGCUUGUGCGCGUCGAGCUUGUUGUCAAAGUAGUCUCGUGUACGUUGCUCGGAGAGUCACAAGUUGGUGGCGAGGUUGUCGAUGCGGUCGUUCAUUGCUUGUUGCUCUUGAUGCAACGCUCGUUGUGCACCAAAGAGGUGGCUCUUGGUGACGAAUGAUGACAUGUCGUCGUCUUGCUCGAUGAAGAGUGGGUUGGUAGAGGAACUUGGCCAAUCCAUCAUAAGAAAGUGGUGGUGAGUAGGAAAAUGAGAGAACAAAACCAAAGUUACCUUUUCCGAAGAGUGUGGAUGUAAUAAGUACGAUCCCACAUGAUGUUACAAUAGGGGAAUUGGUACCGGGAAUUGUUUCUCACACCUGCAAGUAAAUGGUCAAUGGAGGAGCUUGGUUAGGAAAGGCACAAAUAAUUCAAGCAAAUGUUAGUCAAGAUGUUGAUAAAGUUGAGAAGAUUCACAAAUGGCAAAUAAGACAAAUAGAUCAACCUCCCAAGAUAACACGAGGAACACACACACGGAAGAUAAAUGGGAUCCGCACAACCAAGGAAUGAGCUCGAAGAUGUCUAAUCACGGGAAAAGCUCUUGUCGUACGGAUACUAGAGAGACGCUAGCUCGAUUGCACUAAUGGGCUAGUUACGCUAGUGCACCAACCUAAUAGAGAAUCCACUCGUCUCACUAUCCCAAGUAUGCUUAUGUAUGUGGUGACCAAGAUGAUGCACAUAUGCUAAGGCUCGAUGCUAUUGCUUAUAAGCUCUUUGCUUCUCUUCUCUUUUGCUUAAAAGCUUUUUCUUUUUUUCAACUAUGCCACGAUGCUUGAUAUACAAGCCACACAACGAGGUAACAAGUAGUAAAUGCACGAGAUGGACGGAACACUAAAUGGUGCACUAAGGCGUGGCCCGGCAAUACUCAACAAGCUAGUCUCGAUGGGUAAGCUACGCAAAAUGGCUCGAAGCUAUCAAGUUAAUGGCAAGGGAGUACAAGGUGUCGUUGAGGUUACCGUCCUUGCUUACGGUCGAAGAUGAUUUUGUCGAAGCCGAAGUGUUGUCCGAGUCGAUGAUUGGUGGCGAUGAUGAUACCAACUUGCGCCUAAGUAGCCGAAACACCUUAGGACACAAGAGUAAUCGCAACCGAACACUCAACAAACACGUGUAGUGGUGCGGAAGAACACGAGAGGUGGUGGUGAAACAAAAUGAGAAAAUCAUAAAAUGGCCGAAACUUCCUGGAUAGCCCGUGCGCACAGGGUAAGUGAGGCCCGUGUGCACGGGGUCCCGAUGGCCCGUGUGCAUGGGGUCUCCCGUGAGCGGAUGAACUGAUCUGAUUUCAUGGUGAAUUCCAAGUUUUUGGCCAAAAUCAAACAGUGGAAGGUUGGGGAUGAUGGUGGAGGGGUAGAUCCAGUUCCCAAACACCAAAUUCGUGGAUCAAAUCAACCAAAUAUCACAAGAUUAACAAAUUGCAAGAAAAAUUUUUGGGGCUAUUUUUGGUGGGGAUUUUUGGAUUAGGACGAAAAACAACAAAAUCAAACUAGAAAGUGGAAGGUAGGGACUCCAAGAUGUGAAUCAACGUGGCUCAUGAUACCAAGAUGAUGUAGGGUAGAACCCUAGGAAGGACCUUUUCACACUUGGAGGGGGGAAAAGGAGAGAAACCACCAGAACAACAAGAACACAAAGAUGAACACAAGAGGUAAUCACUCCAACAAUUCCCGAUUACACAUCCACUAGAGUAACAACACAAGAUCCACAAGUCACAAACACAAUCAAAGGAAAGAUACAAUGGCAAAGUUCAUCCCGAAUCCAAAGGUAGAGGGGUCUUGAAGGUAGUCUUCUCCCAAUGGAGAUCUUGAAAUCCUCAAGGAUUCUUCCCUAUGGGGUCUUGAUCCUCAAAGAGGGAAGGUAAUGGAGCAAACCUCACCAAGAUCUCAUCUAAUACUUUACUAAACCUAAACAUGGUCCUAGGUACGGAAUAUAUAGCCUUGGGGUCGAAGGAGAAGAAGUGGAGCCGAAGAUGCAAUCUCAGCCGGUCAUCCUGGGAGGCCCAUGCGCACCGGGUAAGUUGGGCCCGUGCGCACGGUACAGGCCCGUGUGCACGGGGUGCUCCAACGCUUGUUUCCUGUGUAGCCCGUGGGCAUGGGGUCUCAGGGGCCCGUGCGCACGGGGUCGUCUGGACUUCCUGUAUUGUUGCUGCUGCUGCACUCCGUCUUGAUUCGUACGGCCUUGGGGUGGUCCUCCUUCUUCUUGGGAAUGCUCCUUGGUGGUGUUCCUCUUCAUACCUAAGGAGGCAUAGCAUAUUUUGGUGAGGUAGUAGACAUGUUCCAUUUGUGUCCAUAUGCAAGUCUAGUAGGAAGGAGUUCACCUCAGUUUCCAAAGCACGUGAUCUAGCUCUUGUCAUGGGUCCUCGUGGGGUUGGAUGUGUCGAUGUAGAGUCCAUGGGGAUGAUGGAAGGAUGUUCCGCAUCACAUGUAUUGUGUCUCAUGAUCAGAAUCAUCUCCACCGUGUUCUUCACUUGUAAUAAGGGCCAAAGUCUCCUCAUCAUAGUCACUAGCAGACUCAUACCCACCAUCCUCAGUAGCAAUCAUCACACGCUGAGAUUUGCAUUCUCACGCAUAAUUUCCUCUUCCCUUACAACAACGACAAAUAAUAUCACUUGUGUGCCCUGUUGAUGCCAUGGAAGAAGAAGAGCUCUGUACAGGCCCGGUAGGUGCGCUCUUGACAGAUAGUGGUGGUUGUGCCUGCUUUCUUGUAUCACGGCUGGAGGUAGCAGCUGAUGGAGGUGCUGGUGCAGUGGAAGUAGAGGAUGCACGCGGUGUCCAUGAUGAAAGUCGACCUGCAGAAAAGUUAGUUCGCGCCAAUGCUUGUUGAUCCUGCACUUCACGUUCAGCUUUACAAGCAAGAUGGAAUAAAUGAGUGAUAUUAGUAUACUCCUUAUACUCUAGAAUGGUCUGAAUCUCUCUAUUUAAUCCACCCAUAAAACAUGCAAGCAUAGCUUCAUUCUCCUUAACAAUACCACAUCUAAUCAUGCCAGUUUGUAAUUCCUGAUAAUAUUCUUCUACAGAAUUUUUUCUUUGUCUUAAACGCUGCAAUUUUUGAAGCAAUUCACGUUGAUAAUAUGGUGGAACCCAAUGAGUACGCAUAGCAGUUUUCAAAGCAGCCCAAGUAGUUGGAAUAGGAUAUAAUCUACAAUGUUCAGACCACCAUACACAUGCAAAACUAGUGAAAGCACAAACAGCAGCAGCAACCCGUCUCUCCUCGGGAUAUUGUAAACAUGUAAAACGUUGUUCAGUUUCUAACUCCCAAGUAAGAUAUAUAUCAGGAACAUAUCUACCCUCAAAUGGAGGAAUAUUCAAUUUCAGUUUCGGAAUAUGGUCAUUAUCUCGUACCUGAGGUGGUGGUGCAGGCCUACCGUUGCGAAUAUAUACCUGAGGUUGACCUGCUGGUGGUGGUGCUGGUGGCUGCACAUAGUUCUGAUUUUGAUCAACCUCAUCCUCAUAAUAGUCCUCUACCUCUGCAGUAACAGCAGGAGCUACAGAAGCACCAACAGUAGUAGCAGCGGCACUAGAAUUUUGUCCUGGCUCAAUAGGAACACGCUGUGCUCGCCCUACUGUAUCGCGGCGUAGAGCUGGUUGUGGGAGACGUUUGAGUAAUUCAUCAAACUUGGCGUCCAACUUGGUGUCAAUUGACAUCUCAAUGUCAUCCAUCUUCUCCAUUGCCUUUCCAAAGCUGGCCAUCAUGUCUUCCACCUGUUGACCCCACAUUUGAUGAAACUUAUCAUGAAGCUCCUUGUUCGUCAUGUUCUCCCAGUCAAUCUCGUCGGCUUGUGUUCCUGCCAUAGUUAGCAGCAAUAGAAAUAGACAAGAAUAUGAUCCUACAGACUACUGGAAUAUGGUGGUGGUGGGGUGUCACAAAUCCGUCAAGCGAAUCUCAAAUUCUUACCAGUUCUUACCCAGCAGCAGGUGGUGAUCGACAACCGUUGUAGUCAAAACUCUCAAAUCUUGGAUAGAGCGGUUACCAGGGAGAGUCAAACGCACAACGUGGAUGUAUGUGGAGCUGGGAAGGCUUAUAAUAUGGUAGCAAAAAGAAGGUCAGGAAUAAUCAAUUCAGAGAUGCAAAGUUGAAUAAACGCUCAACGACGGUACUAUGCUGGUCCUAGGCUAGACCGUGCUAGAGACGCGAGCCUAGAGCACUAACAAAAUCACGGCGCUGCAUGUAAACAAGGGAGGAGCACACUAUGGAUUUUUUUUUCUUUUUUUCACUUUUUAUGCACCUUUUCUUCCUCUUUUUUUUGCUCCGCAACAAAUUUUUUUCGAAAAAGUUUACAAAUGGUCUAGAAACUGCCUAGCCAGAUUUUUUUUUGAAACUGGAACUAUUUUUCUACUGCGGGUAGCACAAAAGUUGGGGAGUCCGACUUGGUCACGUCUCGUAGUAUCGCGUGAUCUAGAACUCGGAAAUAAAGGAAGAAAUACUGGACUCGGACUAGAACUGCUAGCGGAGAUAAAUCUGGUGGAACUCGGACUGGUGAUGAUGGUAUAUGUUGGGCGGUGAAUCACGGACUAGUGGCGAAUAUAUGGAUAUGAUGGUAGAUGGCAGGGGCAAUGAUGAUAGUGCGGCGGCGGCGUGACCACUUAUGACCAGAACUCGAAACUCUAAAAGACUAGACGCUAAGACCAGCAACUUGACAUGACGAUGCAACCGCAAAUUCAACAAAGCAAAAUACUGAAAAGAGUAUGCAAAGGCUCAGACUGGUUCGGAUAUGAUCACCUAACCCUAAUUUUUUUUUGCUUUUUUCGUGGACUGUAGGUAUGAAGAACAGACUCGAUCUAAACUACGAAAAACUAUAAAAUCUCACCAAGCAACCUGGAAAUCUGAUACCACUUGAUAGAGGCAAAGGUGUCCCGUCUUUCGAUUUGGAGGAAGUCAACUUUGAUGAUCCGACUAUGAACGUGAGAGGACGUCGCGCCUUAGCAAUCGCUAAACCAACUUCGAGAGGUUAUUGACCACGCCGGAGCAUGAUCAACCUGACACGAAGGUCUGUUUCCUGUAGGCAAACGAAGAACAAGCAAGAAACUAAGAUGGCAAUAUGGAUAAUGCGAAUAUAAGAGGAAAGCUUUAUUGAUCAAGGUGGGGUUCUGUGACGCAUUUGUCUGGUCGUUGAACACAAACGAAGUACGCGAAGUUGCAGCUAUGGCGAACUUUAAUCUAAACAUAACCCAAGUCUAAACGGUGCCCUAAGGGCUGUAUAUAUGGAGGAAGAGGGGGGAAUUUCAUGGCCCUUGGUGGAGGGGUCCGAAAUCAACCCUAUCUCUUGUUUCCCCACACAUACGGACUCUAAA
rnacentral:lncRNA from 1 species